rnacentral:lncRNA from 1 species
AAAUAAAAAACAUUGCAUUUUUUUGAGUUGCCAGAUUGUGUUUAAUAUACUGUCAUUUCAUGUUGACUACAAUCAGCAAAUCUCUGAAAGUUACUAAGGCUAUGUUUGGGAGUUUGGAGGGUAAGGGAGGGGAGGGUUGAGAUUAGAGGAAAAAAUAGAGAAAUCUUUCAAAAUUGAUUUUGUAGAGAAUGAUAAAUUAGUACUUAUCAUUAAAGUAUUUUUAAUUUUGAAAGUAUUAUAACAACAUAGAUCAGAUUAGAUUUGGAAAAUUUACCCAACCCCGCAAAACCCUCCAAACUCCUCCUCAUAUACAAUUUUUUAGUUCCCCAAAUUAGGGGGAUUUUGUACCAUGAAGAAAACUGAACCCCCUAAAGCCUUUCCCUCCCAAAGAUCUAUUUUCUUUCCACUUCCUUUUUUUACAAGCCCUCCCCUCCCCUCAAAACUCCCAAACAUUUGUUUUAAAACUAGUUUAACUAAUUAAUUUGGUGCCAUUGGUACAAAACGGUUUUGACCUUUUAUUGUGGUCUUGCCCCAUGAUCUUCAAUUGUCAUUUCUCCCUUCGAAAAGAGUUCUCCAAAAAUGAUGGUUGUUUGUUUCAUGCCUUUUGUUUUUAACUUUUCCAAUCAUGUAUCUGUAAUAGAUAACAAUCCCUAGCAAAGCUUGAUAACAAUAUACUCAAUUUGCAUUUCUGGUAUGAUGGUCUGAGAAUAUUAUAUUUUCCAGCUGUUACAUAUUUAUCACUCCUUAUUUUUGCCAUUGUGAUUUUCUAUCAUUCUUGCUAUACUUCAGAUUCCCAGAGAUGAAGAAGGUGAGCCACUUUACGAGGAUUUCAUGUGUAAGGCAUGCUCUGAAGUAUGUUUCUUUCUGAAAUUAUACCCCGAGGUAAUAUUGGUGGCUGGCAAGCAGCCAAAUGCUACUGCUCAAGUUAGCAAGGACAAAGGUAUUUUGGAAGACACGCCUUCAACUUGUGGGUUUGAAAAGCCACUGGGUGAUACUUCAUAUAAUUCUCCUAAAAUUGAUGUGGCACAAGCUUCUGUUGGUUCUGAAUCUAUAUCUAAUAGGGCGGGUCUUCCUCCUGGUGGAAGUUGUAAUAGCAGUACAUGCACUGAAGGUGCCAGUUUGCAUGUUAAUUGUCUCCUUGGUGUGAACAUUGUUGCUGCUUCCCCAGUUAUACAUGGUAAAGCAAUGUUCCUUUCCAAAAAUUGGAGAGAUGCUCUAUGCAAAUGCAAGAAUUGUUUGGAAUAUUAUCAUCAGAAGCGGAUUGCUUUUCUACUUGACAAGGAGGACUCAAUUGUGGAGUAUGAGAAAAUGGCAAAGCAAAAAAGAGAAGAAAAGUUACAGCAACAGGAGGGUGCUGAGUUAAGUCUUUUUAAUAAACUUGGACAUGUAGAGAAAGUCGAGAUCUUGAAGGGCAUUGAAGAUAUGAAGGACGGGCUUCGCACUUUCCUGGUAUGUUCUCUUUAUUGCAUUAAUUUAUUGAAUUGUAUGUAUGUAUUUCUUCACUACUUUUGAGUUUUGUCACUGCUAGAUCUUUAGUGAAGUCAGUUAUAAGAAAAAAACAGAUGGAUAGAUACAUUCUUCAUCGCUUUGUUUAAUCACUCUAAUUGGUUGUUUGAUUAUAUGUUAUGUUUCACGACAGGAGUCGGCCGACUCGUCCAAGCCAAUUUCUGCUGCUGAUAUCCAUCAGUUUUUUGAUGACAUUAAGAAUAAGCGGCGCCGUGUAGGGUGAGUUUCUGCUGUCUUGGUGGUUUCAAGGCGCGGUGUGGUCCUAACUUGCAAACUGUCGAGUUUAUUUGUCAUAUCUGGCAUUCACAAGUUAUGAUAUUUAUAUCACAGUGCCCUACUUGUAUGAACUUUUUUACUUGGCUCCUUUAAGUUAACUUGGUUUCGACAGACACCCUUGAUGACUUCUCAAUAUUGCGUAUUCUUAAUGCUGUCUUCCAAAAAUUGACAUAGAUCAAAUUUAUAAAAAUGUCAAAGACGAUUCAAAAAAUUAACUGGCACUUUUUAACGAGACAAUUGAUUGACACAAACAUAUACCGUUUUCAAAUUAUAGGAUAAACGUUGAUUAUAAAUUAGGUAUUUGUUUAUACUUCGUUUGAUAUAUUUAAAAGAGGAAUGCUAGGGUCACACCCUCUAACACACACCAAUAAAAAUUAACCACCUCAACCUUCCUUUACCUAUUCACCGGGUUAACCAGCUUCUAAAAAUUCUCUGUCAGAAACAAACAAAAAAAGUUGUUGAACGAUUCAGUUCUUUCACACAGAAAAGUUGCUUAACAAUUAUUAUUAAGCUUAAUACAUUUUCCGGUCCCUUAAUUUCUUUUAAUUUUUCAGUUUAUUCCCUUAACUAAAAAACGUCUCAAACUGGUCCCUUAUGUAUUCUGCCGUUAUCUAUUUUCGUCUUCGCAGUUCCUUUGCGUUAUAAUCGUUUGAUUGCAGGUCCAUAAUAUACUAGAGUGAAUCAUCCCUAUCUAAAUUGUUUUCCUUUCCUUCUUCUACUUCCCUAUUCUUCCUCUUAUCUUCUCCUUCCCUUCCUCCCUCAUCAUCUUCAUCAUCAUAUCAUCUUCAGCUCUAAACCCAGAAAUCCUAAAACAUAAACUUAUCAAAAUCCAUAAAUUAGUAAUUACAAAACACACAUAAAAGCUUUCCCUUUCAUACCCGCUGCAAUUUCCAGUGAAAGUCAUGAGCAACAACCAACACAGAACCAACAACGAACAAUCGAAAUCCAUACAAGUUCAGAUCUAAGAUUCAAAAUGUUCCCUUUCAAAAUCGAAAUCCAUAAAAGCUUCACAUAUUUCUUUCCAGUAUAUCACGCAAAGAAAGAUCCUGUUGUCACAGGCUUCACAUACUCGUAGCUUCAUAUAUUAUAGAUAGAACCUUAGUUCAUGAAAUCUUUGAUCUAUCUUACCUUUUUUUUUCUAAUAAAACUUAACUAAUAUUUUUACUUCCAUCAUUAUUAGAACCGAGGAAAUUGAUUGUUGAACCUUGUGGUGUUACUUUUGGAGUGGUAGAUUCUGUGAUAUCCAUGUUCUACUUUGGCAUCCACUUCUCAAAUUUGGUCCAAAUUUCUUCUCACGAUUUUCAAAUGUAAAACUAGAGGUAUGAAAACACACAACCCUGAAUGAUGGAGGUGAUGAAUCCUCUUUUGAGUUGGAUUCUUCAUCUUUUGUGUUCAUGAUUGGUUCAACGUUUGGAUUCAACUUAGGAGAAGUUUGGGUUGUUGUUGAUGAUUUGGAUUUUGCAGAUUAUGAAUUAACUAUUUUUUUUUUGAACUAUUAUAAAUUAACUCUUUGGAUUGAUGGAAAUUGUUUAUGUUUUUUUUUUCUUCCGGAUUUCUUUGAAUGUUGGAUCAAUAUAUGAUGAUAGUGAUGAAUAAGAAUAGGGAGGAAGAUGAAUAAAAGUAAUAAUUAGUUGUUAAUUAAAUUGAAAAGAAAAAAAAUAAGCAAUUGAAAAGAAAAGUUGGAUUUUGAAUUUUAAUGAUGAAGAUGAAUAAAGAUGAGAGUUUUAUUUGGGGAAGAAGAAGAUGGAGGAAAAAAUUAGGUGUUUGUGGUUCAUUAUAAACUACAAUAGAUCUCUCAUUGAUCCAAUGGUCUCCAUUUAAAAAAAAAAAUCAAACGGUUAAUAAUAAAAGAUUUAAUAAGGUCUAUGGUGGACCAUCUAUAAAGUUGGUUCACCUUAGACAUUUAAGGUUAAAAACUAACAGAGAGACCAAAAUAAUAAACGGCAGAAGAUUUAUGGGACCAAAUUGAAACACUUAAUAUCAUUUCCUUCCGAUUUUCUCAUGGCUCCUGAUUUGUAUCGCAUAUGCUCGUGUACCUAUCGUAAGUUCAUCGUCUCUCAAGGUUCAAUAUUCCCAAUCCAAUCUAUGUUAACCGCCAACGGUAAAACGAAACACCAUUCCAUCAAAGUUGGAUUUCUCAUUGUCGUUGAAAGUUUCGGUGGCUAUUGAUGUCUUGGUCGCGUUCUUCUGUGACUGUCAAUGAGUUGGAUUUUAUAUUUGAUUUGGGUUCCUUUUCUGUCCAGGAUUUUCCAGAUCUAGAUUUUAUACGAUAUUUUAACUUUAAAGAUUUUACUGGAAAGAAAGGUUUGAUUAUCUGUGUAGCAACUUUUUUUGACAGAUAAGAAACAUGAACAUUCUUCGUGAGGUUUAGGUGUUGAGAAUUGAAAAGUUAAAAUAAAUAAAAAUAAUAAAAUAUAAAAUAAAUGGUUACAAAGUGGAACCGGUAUCAAUUAAAAAAAGUGGAGGAGGUGGGUCGGUUUUAUUGGUGUGUGUUAAAAGAGUGUGUUAGAGGGUGUGAUCAUAGCAUUUCUCUAUUUAAAAUAAGGGAUUUGUUUAUACUUUUAUUAAUUUUGCUUUGGAUUUUUAUGAGACUACUUUGAAGAAGUUUGGUAAAUUUUGAAAAUUCUAAUCUAAAUGGAUAAAAAUAAGUAUUUGGAAUAUUAGAAGAUUUUUUUGGGUUCUGAAAAGAAAACGUGCAUAUCACAAAAUAAAUACAUAUGCAUAUAUAACCAAGAUUAUUAUGAUCUAUUUAACUCAAAAUUAGUUCGAAUCUUGCUUAGAUAAUUAACUUGUUGAAUUAUUUGAUAUAUUAAAAAUGAAGUGAAUAUCAAACUAAAAUUUGAGUUUGGGAGUAUUGAUUUUGGUUACCGAUGAAAAUAAUGUUUGGUUAAAUUUUUUUAUUUAUCUCCGAAGUCCCAACCAGCCUCAAAGUUACUCAUUUCCCAUAAUUAGAGUUGAUGAUUUAAAAUUAGACUGAAGAUACAUCAAUGAGACCUCUAGAUAUGGUUAAAUUGGUUCAAUCAGUUAAACUAUUAUUUCUUUUGGAUUACUAUUCUUGAACUCGAAGUUGAACUUCAAAGUGAACUAAUUCUUACAACGUGAUCUUGAGCUAAACCCAACUAUACGUAUCUUAUACUCAACUUUACUCUAAAAAUUGGAAUGAUGUCUUCUGUAAUCAAAAUAUCGAUAAAAAUGAAAAACAGUGUUUGUCAAAGUUUUGAUGUCCAAAAAUGAUUUAUAUUAUUUUAACGUGGGGUAACAUUUAACAAAUCUAUGAUUACGAUCUGUCUAUUGACUAUGUAUUCUCGGACUGUUCCCAAACCCAACACAAAGGUUAAAAAUGUCAACGAACAUUUUAAACUUAAGGUAGAGACUCAGACAAGGACAAGAGUAGUAGGUUUGGUGGAUUGAAUUCGCGUCAGGGAUAGAUUUUGAGCAUGUGUAUCAACAGUUCAUUAAACCUGUUAAAUAAUAAACAAGUCAUGUCCUACAUAAACUACAAACCUGUCUGUCAUCUAUCAUUAAUUCAUUAUUUAGAGGUUUAAAAAUGCUAAGCAUAUAGUUUUUUAUUUUAUUUUUUAUUAUUUUUUUACUUGACGUUUUUCAAAAUUUCAUCAUGCAAAUACAAAAUAAAUAUACUCCUUGAUGUUUUUGUCAUCUGCCACGUUGUGUUUUGGAUUAUAAUUUGAUUUCUCUUUGUUCAGCUUCGUCUGAUGUCACAGUGACUUCUGUUUGAUGUAAGCAGGCUAUGUGCAUGAACGAUAUGAAUACUCAUUUAUAAGAUACAGAUACAUCGAUACAUAUAUAUAUAUAUAUAUAUAUAUAUAUACUGUGAAUUAUGUGCGAUUAUGUUAUAUGUUAUUGCCCAUGAGUUUUAGCUUAUAAAGAACUAUGCCAAGUUGCCAACAAAUCCUGUGUUUAUCUGGUGGAUUUGAAGCCUAGAAUCACAAUAUGUUAUUUUUGAAUUAGAUUAUAAAACUGUGGUUAGUAAGAUUAAUAUUCAUCAUGGUUUAUUAAAUAUAAUGAGAAAAUUGUUGUUGACAUAUUUUGUUUGGCUGAGAAACACUAUUAAUUUACUCAAAUAUUCUUUUGCAGUUAAUUGCCGAAUUUUGAAGAAAUCGGCUGCAUUAACUGUCGAGGAAAACUUCGGCAGUUAACUACCGAAGAAUUUCAAACCUAAAAUUAAAUAAGAAAAUACACCUAAAUUUUCCCUUAAUAAUUUAAUUCUUUAAUACAUAAUCCUUUUUAUAACGUUGUUGAUUUCAUUCAUAUAAUUUUGUUGCCAUAAAUGAAGAAAUAUGAGAUCUUAGAAUUACAUAUUCGAUCACAUUUCUUACUAGUAAUAAAAAAGAGGUUUUAUUUGUACAAAAAGAAAAAGAGGUUUUAUUAAUAGAAUAAUUACAAAUAUAAUUAUUUGAAAGAGAGAUGAAUAAUAUCUAAAAUAUUAUAAAGUAAUAAUAAGUUAGUCAAACCUAUGAAUAAUGACAAACAUCAAUGAAAUUAAUUUACAAAUAUAAUUAUUCUAUCAUUUAUAAUGUUUUUUGUUGUUAUAUUUUUUUUAUUGAAUCACCAUUUUAGGUCCAUUAAUUACCGAUGGCAAACAUUUUUCUUUGUUGUUGCGUUUUUCAUGUUAAUUAAAGUAAUAAUAUCUGAAAUAUUAGUAUAAAGUAAUAAUAGGUUAGUCAAACCUAUGAAUAAAUAAAAUUAAUUACUAAUAAUUACAAAUAUAAUUAUUCUAUCGUUUGUAACGUUUUUGUUGUUGCAUUUUUUUUUAUUGAAUCAUCAUUUUAGGUUCAUUAACUACCGAUUACAGAUAUUAUUCAUCUCUCAUAUUUUUUCAUUUAUGACAACAAAAUCAUAUGAAUGAAAUCAUAAAAAUAAUUAUGUUUAAUUUCUUAAAAGGAUUAAAGAAUUAAAUUUAAUCAAAGAAUUUUUAGGUGUAUUUCCUUAUUCAAUUUCAGAUUUAAAACUGCCAAAAUUUUCCUCGGCAGUUAACUGCAGCCGGUUCUUUAAAAUUUCGAUAGUUAACUGUCGAAGGAUAUUUGAAUAAUUUACUUGUAUUUUUCAAACCUUAGCAAAUAUGUAUACAACAAUUUUCAUAUAAUGAGGGCAUAGCUAAAAGCUGUACGAAAACGAAAGACGCAGGUAAAAAUAUAGGCUAGCUACUGAAAUUGUACACAUUGUUAUACGCGUGACCAUACUAUACCACUCUUCAUGCAAAUAUAAUAAGGAGAUUGUGAUAUGUGAAUCUUCAUAUAUUAUAUGUUGCGUACUCUCUAGAUUUUGAUUAAAAUAAACUUUUUACUUUUUCAAAACUCCAGAGUGUAAAAACAGUAAGUUAAUUAUAAUAUCAAACUAUUAUUACAUGUUUUUUUAGGGGAUCAAACUAUUUUUUUUAAGGACUAUUAUUAUUAUUGUUAUUAUUUGGUUACAAUAUCAAAGUAUUUUCCCUAAAAAAAAAAGAAUCAAAAUAUUUCUUAUGAUGAUCAAACAAACAUAUAAUUUUUGUUGACAAAAAAACAAACAUUAUUUCUUUCAUUCCAAAAGGACCCAAACACAAGAGAACCAUAGAUGCAUUGCUUAUCGAUUAUCCUCCUAAAAAACCAAAUCAAACAUUUAAUUGUUACUACUAUCAAAUAAAAAACAUUACGCUUACUUUGUUAAACUCUUCAUAAUACUUUAACAGUUUAACAAAAAAACUCUUCAUAAUACUAAUGGUGAUUUGGUUAUAUAUUAAACAUGAUUAAACUUACUUUUAUUUUCGAUAUGUAUAAUUUUAUAAACAUAAUAUGAAUUUAAAAGCUAUUCUAAUUUCAGCUGUGUAGUACUACAAACGAAUUUAAUUUUUUUUCAUCAAUUAAACUUAAUGAUACCUAUACUCUCUAUGUGACCUGUGUAAUUAAUUAAUGUUGAAAUUUAAACCUUCCGACAAGUUCAAGAUGAGACAAAGGAUGAGUUAAAUGUCUUUAUCACCGGCAACUCAAUUGCUUGCAACUCCAAUUAUUGUCAUUGUUUAUUAAAUUUUUCAAUCAGUCCUACGCUUUUAAUAAAAUAAAAUAAAAUGAAACGAAACAAGGACGAAUGGUACAGUAAGAGAGACGGUGCCAAUAAUCCAUUGUUUAUGUUUAAUUGAUAGGUGUAUACACAAAUAAAUCAAUAUGCGUCAUUCAUUAAGCUAAAAAAAGUUAGAAAAUUUAAUAUAUUUUCUAGGUCCAAGAUACAGGUAUUCCCGUGAGUCCUUCGUUCAGAAUCUAUGAGCCCACAUGCAUUUUUUUCUCUAAAGUUAUUAUUAGUUAAAUAGUAGCCUAUAGUAUUGAACUUUAUGAAUAUAAAUAAAUACUCCCUCUCUCUAUUCAUAUCCUUCCACAUUAGGAUUAAGGGUCACGCACACAGUAAUCAUGGGAAAUUGCAUGGAGACAUACACAAUGAGGCCAGUGGAGAUGGAGCAACAACAAAAAGAAGAAACAAAAUCAUCAAUUAAUGAUACUAAAGGGAAAAAUAGUGUUAGUAUGAAAGUUGUACUAACAAAAGAGGAGCUUAAAUGGUUAAUAUUUCAACUCAACAAGAAAGGAGGAAUGAAAGUGGAACAAGUUCUUGAAGAGAUAGAGAAACGUAGACAAAAAGUUGAGGGAUGGAAACCUUCAUUAGAGAGCAUUUUAGAAGCCCCUGAAAUGCUUGAGAUCAAUUGAUUUUCACACCCCCUUCAAUUUUUCUUCUCCUUUUUUUUGUCUCUAAUAUAUAGAGCCUUUUUGUCAUGAGUGGUUAGAUUAGAUCACCCACUUUUGUAAAUCUUAAUUAGGAUGAAGAAAUUGUUUAAGUUCGAUCGAGGAUAUAUACAUGUGUUGUUUUCUGCUUUUUGACAUAGAAAUUCAGUAUUUUUUUUUUGGUUAAAUAUGUUUUUGGUCCCUAUAAAUAUGUUAACUUUUCUUUUUAGUCCCUUUAAAAUUUUCCUUCAACUUUUAGUCCCUAUAAAAUUUUCAAUCUUCACUUUUGGUUUCUCUUUUAAAGUAAACUCAUAUGUAGAAUUCAUAUUUUUUAAUAAAAUUUUCCAGAUAAAUUCAAAAUAUUAUAAGAAUCACUCCAAAAAAAAUUUAGAAUUUUUUAACAAAACAUGAAUUUAAUAUGAAUUUUUAUAUUUUUUACGGUUAAAAAUUCAUAUUUAAUUUGUGUUUUGUUAAAAAAUUAUAAUUUUUUUUAGGAAAUUCUUUUAGAAUAUUUUACACAUUUCUGCACAAUUUAAUUAAAAAAUACAAAAAUUAAAUUUAAAAUAGGGACCAAAAGUAGUGAUUGAAAGUUUUAUAGGGAUUAAAAGUUGAAGAAAAAUUUUAGAGGGACUAAAACGAAAAGUUGACAUAUUUAUAGGGAUCAAAAACAUAUUUAUCCCUUUCUUUUUCACAUGUUAUAUCAUACGUUUUAUUUUCCAGCAUCUAGCUCUUACAUUUAUCCCAGAAUAAUUGAAUUUUUCAUCUAUUAUACAUUUUAUUAAGUAAAGCUAGUGAGUGGUGUCAUUGUAUGGCUCAUCACGAGGGCAUGUACAAAAGAAAUUGAUUUUUUUUUUUCCUUUUGAAUUCUUGGUAUACGUAUUUUCUUUGUGUGAUUUUAAAUACUGAGAAUCCAAGGUCUGAUCUUAAUACUCAACAAUGUCACCAAUGACCUCUCACGACAAUAUAAAUACUAAUUUGACAAAUAUUACAAUAUUAAAAAAAAAUAACAAAAUGAAAAAGCAGAAAAAAAUAGUUUGGAGAACCGCCAACAGCUAUAGCCAGGGUCCCAAUACUAUUUUUAUUUUAUAACAACCAUACUUUUAAAAAGAAAGUGAUGUUAUGCAUCAAUUUUUAGUUCAUCGUAUUAUUGUUACACACACAUGAGAAAUCAAGUUACUUUGUCUAAUAAAUCGAUAUAAACAUUGAAUUUUUAGCAAUUCAACCGUUUAUUAUUAUCAUAUUAUGAUGAAACACAAAGUUUUAAACAAAUUUAAAAUUCGUAGCUAUGUAAUCCGAUGCAUGGUUUUGAAGAUGUUAUGCAUUAGGAAUACUAAAAGGCUCAAAGAUGGAUUGGUACAAUGAGGUAUGAAAAAGAAAAUUGGUAUUGGUAUAUAAUGUGUGCUGUGGAAAUUUACAUCUUAAGCAAGGCUUCCCAAGAUUUUAUUAGUUGUUGGAGCACAAGAACGGGUUGGUUUCCGAUUUUGGGGAGUGGGGCAGAUGGUAAGUGGUUGUGGCGGAGUAAAUGGAGGCUGCCAUUCUUUGUUUGGGAGGAAGAGUUUUGCAAGAAGCUGGUGGAGUUGGUCUCUUCGUUUGGUAAAAUCAAUCUACAUUCAUCUUUGUAGGAACUUCUUCUCUCCUUCUUUGGUGGGGGGGGUAGGGAGCUCUUGGCUCAAUUGCGGGAAGCCAUGCCCCAUCAAAGGUAGUAAUUGAAAUAAUUGUUGGAUUCCUUACCAACAAGAUUGAUUGAACUUGGCGAGGCGAGGGGUCUUUCGAAAGGAUGGGCUAGAAAAUUGUAUUUGGUGUGUGGAUAUACAUAAGGUGAAAGAGUUUUAUUUGCAAAGUGUUCAUUUGUGAGUAAUAUUUGGUAUGCGUUAUUCAAGUGGUGUAGGAACCUAUAUACCUCCAAUUCAGUACAUCUAUGGUUCAGAAGGGGAAAGGGUGUUGUUGGUAUGACAUACAAAGUUUUGACUCGUAUGGAAGGUAAGAAAUGAUUAGAUUUUUUAAUUCAAUGGUAUAAAAAGUGGAAGAGGUGACACAAACGUUUUUUUUUUUUUUUUUUGUUGAAGAAGGCGAUUCACAGGAAUGGUUUUUGAGUAGUAACACUACCCCGUGCAUUUUUUACGAAUGGCUCCGAUUUUCAAUAGAUUGUUAUGAUUAGGUAACUUGAUUGUAUUUUAGGGUUUUGUCUGUAUGGGAUGGGAUGGGAGCCUUUUGGACAAAGGUACUACUUGUAUUGGUCAAGUAUCACUUUUAUUUCUCCUUUUCUAAUAAAAUCUAUCUUGCUAUUAAAACACUAAAGUAUAGGAAGUUUGAGUUGAAAAGAUUUUGAAUCAUUGGUGACCGCUAUCGAAACCAAGGUGUUCCUCACUCAUACUGGAGUGUGAGAGUUAACUUAAAAUCAGGUUUCUGCAGAAUCGUGGCACGAUGGCAAGGCAACGUGGCACGAUGGAGGUUUCAGUUUUUUAGGCAAGGCACUGGAAAAAUCGUGGCACGAUGGUGCACUGGCAGCGAAAAACAGAAACAUAUUUUUGAGUGCAGAUUUGUUCCAAAUUUUAAGCGAUGCUUUUACUAUAAAUACAGGCCUUGUAUCAGAGCAAACUUGGAGAUAGAGGGGGCUGAAACAAGGGUUUAGAAAGGCAACAACAAAACUAGGGUUUGUAUAGAGUUUGUCUCUUCGGAACAAACACUAGGGUUUGUGGGUUGAUUCACCUUGGGAAACACUAUUAUGAUUGAGUCUCUUGGUUACGGGAAGAGGCUGGGACUUUGGGUAGAAUUAGGCGGGAGACUUAUUCUUGUAACCCAUUGAUUUCUCUUUGUAACGUUACUUAUCAUAUAGUGGAUCGGAGGGCUGCUCUCUCCCCCAGACUAGGUCAAUUUGGACCGAACUGGGUCAACAAAUUCUUUUGUGUUCUUCUCGCCGUUGUUUUCUACUUUUGGCUUGUAUUUAAUUGUUUCAUACACUUUGUUUUGGUUGCUUGAUUAUCCCUUGCUCCACACAUCAAGUUGUUAUUGGUGUGACUUUUUUGAUCGAAUUCACAACAUGGAGAAACAUUGAUCAGCUUAAGGCAGAGACAAGGUAAGGUAAACAAACAGCCCAUUUGUACUGAGUCAAACUCUACUUAAACAUGUCCUUAUCUUCAUUUGUACUAGUACUAGUACGUAUAAUAACUAUCACAAAUGAUAGUGAUUUUACUAAAACAGAAAGUUCUAAUGAUCUUGAUGAGACUAAAAAAUAUAAGCAUUUGUGGGUUGAAUGCGAAAAUUGUUAUGGAUUAAAUUAUAAAAAUAUUGAAAUAAAAAAUGAGUAUUUGUUACCAUCAAAAAAAAAAAAAAAAGAGUAUUUGUUCCCUAAAAUAAAAUGAAUAUUUGUGAUCACCGUAGAUAUCAUUUGAAAAUGAGCGGUUCAAAUUGAAUUGAACUUAUGAUUGAUCGAGGUAUUUAGAAUCCUAUCUCGUUAUAUUGGAUUUGCUUUCUAUAAAAAAAUGUUACUAAAAGAAAUUAAUAUUUACCGAUAUUUAUGAAAUAUUAGAAGUCCCCAAAAGGUGAUAUGUCUCAUAUUAGAAGUCUAGAAGGUUCUAAACCCCAAAAGGUUCGAUCUUAAUGUGAUAUGUCUAUGAAACUCAAUAUCAUGUAAUACUUGACCUAUAUGUCAUAUGUUUAGUUUGUACUUUUGCUUUCUCAUAUAUAUGGCACCGACACGCCUCAUUGAAGAUAUGCCCUGAUGUUCAACAUAUGUCGUGUGCGACACCGACACUCAUUUUCUUAAAAUUUUAUCCAUAUCGACAUGUCCAUGUCAGUGUCGUGUCUGGUGUUCGUGCUUCAUAGUUGAUAUAUAUCUUCUUACCUUGCCAUUAAAAAAAAAGCCUUGCGAACCUCUGAUAAAAACUUUCUACCACAUAACUGAAAAUUAUCUAUGUAUAAAACGCUCAAGAAGGGAAGCCUUCCCUAAAAAAUAACAGGCUUUUGUCAAACCAAAUCAUUCAGAUCAUCAUAAAUAGAAAGUUGGCCAAUUCCAUUGCCCAGUUCCAAUGUCAAGAAAAUCAAUAAUUAACUGAUUGACUCGAAUAAAUUGUUCUUAGAAGUAAAACAAAAUUGAUAGUUUCAAAAUUAUGAAUAAACAUACAAACAAAUUAAAGGGUAAAAUUAAAAAUUAGUUAGAUGUUGAAAAGACAAAUUAUCAGUCAUUUUUUUAUGUUGCUAAAACUACUUUCAUAUUGAAAUUGAUAAGAUAUCAAAUUAGCAUUUCUCUGUUCUUGCAAAAUGUGUAGACAAUAUAUACAAUAGUGUAGUCCAAGUACUUUUGGGACUCCCAAAGACUCACAAGGAAACACACUAACACUGGAUACCGUGUUCUACGGUGUCUCGAACCAAAUACAUUUGACUUUUUGAAUAUUUUUUCUUAUAUUUCAUUCUAGAGAGGUUAUAUGUUGGUUCAAGUUGACAGAAUGGUAACUCGGUCCAUUGGGAGUGCUAUAAGUUCAGAAGCAACAUCCUUGAAUGGAAGAACUCCUCCUUCUUUGCAUUUAAAUUUUGACAGUAACUUAGCUGCUUCUUCCUUUGUCAUCUUUACCUUCACUCUAGUAACAUUCAUCCUUUCUCUUUCUCCUAAUAAUUCAUCAAUAUAAUUACUACCACAGCUUCUUCUUCCUUUCAUCAACUCAUCCUUUUCAUCUUGUUCUGAAUCCGCAAACCGAACACUUUUCCUAACUGCCUUUCUUGUUAGGGGAGAUAUGAUCUUUUUAUUGCCUACCUCAUCUUUGUAGGUUAUUGCCUUUGUGUCUUUGAAUUUUGCUGCUAAUUUUUCAUAUGAUAUUUUUCUACUAAGAAAUUCAAGACAAUCAAACAAUAUGGUAGUGAUCAUGGUUUUAUGUUUGAAAAAUUGGUACUAGAAGAAAAGAAGUGGGAAGGAAAAGAAGGGUGAGGAAAAAUAUGGACAUAGAAGAGUGAAUUUAUAGUAGUUGAUUAUGAAGUAUAUGAUAUGAUAUAAGGAUAAGCAUAUGAUCGAUAUGUCUAGGGUGGCGGGGCACAAAGGGUCAUGGACUAAUUACCUGAAUUUUUUUCUGCUCAAUAUCAAUGAAGUGACCUAGGGGUCAAGGAAGAGAAAAGUCAUACAUGUCUUUGCUAUGAUACAUAGACACGUGGAUCCCACACAAGCACAUUUUCUCUUUCCUCUCCUCUUCUCUCUUCCUAGUGCAUUGGAUGUACAAGGGUGUAUGAGAAUAAAAUGUGUCUCUGUAACAUUUUCCUUGCCGAUGUUAGUCAAGCUUAAGCUAUUAUUGAUGGUCACAUUGCAUGGUCCCUCCCCCCAUUGUCCUAUUACAAGAAAACUUGAGUCAAUUUUGUCUGCUUAUAUAUUCAUGGAAUAUCGCUAGAAGUGUCACAUGUAUGUAUCUAUGUUGUUUAUGAUAGACCAAUGCUUAAAAAUCAUUUACAUUUUCCUUGUAAAUUUUGUUAUCUUUAAGUAAAAGUUCGGGGUCAUCAACAAUUUCGCAUCUAAUUAGUAUAGUUAGCACUAUAUAGAUAUAUUUAUUUUCUUUAAAAAAAAAGAUAUAUCUAUUUUUAAUUUGAUUUGAAUAAUUCUAUUAAAAAUAUAUUUUUAAAGAACCUUAAUUAUAAAUUAAUCAAUUACAACAAAAAUAUAAGAAAAAAUGACACUCGAAUAAUUAAAAAGACAAAACUUAUUAAUUCGCCUAGGGCAUAGAAAAAAUGUUAAGACCGAUGGGGUCGACCCUAAAUACUCGUUGUUGAAAGAGUCAAUAAACAAAUCAAUGCCGUACAUAAAAGGUGGUUAGGGCCUUUAAUAAUCAUCCAAUUGUGAGGGUGGAUUAAACACUUCUGCUAUCUAUCUCACUUGUAGGGUUGAAAGGGUCAAUACUUCAUCAGGUAAAUGGAACACCUUAUACCUUGACUUUUAUUUAUUAGUCUUUAAUAUUUUGGCCAGUAUUGAAGAGAUUGAAUUGACAUAUCCGUAAGAGCUAACCACACAUUAUAAUUAGAUCUAAUUAGUGCAGUAAUCCUGCAUUACACGUAAAUCUUACAGCGUGUGUUGUUUUCAAGCACUAAAUUCUUCUGUCACCACUUGCAGUUAACUUAAGAUAUAGUUAUCGUGAAGGACCCGUUCAACUUAAUUCAUUCGCCAUGCAAUUAAGUCUAGUGUGAUGGCAUAGCUACUUUGAGGCUAUCUCACACAACUAUCAUGCACACGUCUAUUAAUCGAAUAUAAACUCAUGUGUCAUGUCGUGUUAGUGUCGGACAUUAGAUAUGUAUUUGAUCGCAAGUAAAUAAAUAAACCAUGUAGUAAUUAUUUAAGAAAUGUAUCUUCUUGAAAUUCUAGAAGAUUAGAAGGUAUGCAAUGAUAGAUUGAAAGUGCACCCAAGACGACUAGAUAUUCAUAUAUUAUUGCACAGCUGCACAGAAUGCAUAACAUAUCACUAAGGGUCUGUUUGUUUGGGAAACCCCAAAAAAGAACUUUUAGUUUAUAAGCUCGUUUGACAAAAAAAACUCUGUUUGGUAACACUUUUUCACCAUGAGCUUAUAGCUUAUUUCACGAGUUUAUAAGCUAUUUUUCAGAAGCUAUUCCAAGUAGCGUUUGAGCUUAUAGCUUAUAGCUUCUCACUUUUUCUUCCAAUUUUACCCUUAUUAUUUCAUUUAAAUUGUAUUUUUAUCCAUUAUAAUUUUUAUAAUAAACUACGUAAUAAAGACUACUAUCCCUUUAUUCCAAUUUUUGUAUAUAUAUCAGCUGGCCUUUUUUUUUUUUUUUUGAAAAAAUAUAUACCUUCGGUUUUUUUUUUACGAAACAAAAUACUAUUAUUCUAUUAGUGUUACUUUUUUUUUUUUUUGAGGUAAGUGUUAUUUUCUUUAUUCUCUGUUAUUAGUAUUACUCUCUUAGUGCUACCUUUUUUUUUGUUUUUGAGGUAAAUGUUAUUUUCUUUAUAAAGUGGAAACACUUAAAUGAUAAUAAAUAUAAGAUAAAAUUUUAGUGAAUAAAAUUUAAUUUAAUUUAUAAUACAUAGGAUAUAUUAAAUUUAAAGUAUUUUUUUAAAGAAAAAUUAGUUUACAAAAUUACAAAUACUUAAAUUAAUGAUAUAAUUUUUAUUAUGAAUUAAGAAUACCCUUUAUGUCAUUUUACAUUUAUCAGCUAGUUGAACCGCUAUUUUUACCAAAUAUUUCAGUUAGCUUAUCAGCUAAAAGCUAUCAGCUAGCUUAUCAACUAUCCGCUAUUUUUACCAAACAGAGCCUAAAAAUAGAAUCGAAGUACAACUUGAUAGCCACAAAAAGACAAACACAUUCACUUGUCUCCUUUUUGUUCUUGUUGUGAAAGUAUUGUCUCCUCACAAAACUAAUUAAAAAAAUCUGUUUUUUUAACACAAAAUGACUCUCUUUUUUAGAGGACAAAAAGACUCUUCUAAGGUAAGGCAUAUGUUACACAUAAAAAAAUUAUGGAUAAAUUAUACAACAACCAACGAGAAAUAGUCACGUGAGUAAAGACUAAUACCUCAAAUUUGUCCUUGAAUUUUAAAAAAUCGGUCAAAUUCGUCCCUGAAUUUUGUGAAAUAUCUAUUUAAUCCCUGAAUUUUACAGACAUCCAUCAAAAUGGUCCCUCCGUCCAAAAGCUCCAUUAGUGGUGAUGACAUGUCCUCUUGCAUGUUGUGUUGUCAUGUACACGUGUCAACAAGGCAGCCACAUGUACAAGGACUAAUUUGAUGAAAAUGGUAAAAAAUUUGAGAUUUGACUUUUCAAUGUAAUUUUUUCUGUGUUCCAAUUAUACCCCGCUAUUACAUAAGGAUCGAUUUGAGACUUACUGGCAUAAUUUGAGGACUAAUUUGAUGGAUUUUGUUAUAAUUUAAGGGUUGAUAUGAUUGAUUUUAUUUGCAGAGAAUGAGUACAAGGAGAUAUGACAUGAGAGGACCUGUGAUUUCAAAUGACAUGCAUAAACAAACAUCACUAAGGGUCCUACUCCACAAAAUUCAACUGCUCCUAGAGUUAUUAGAGUUUCAAAUCCAAAUUACGGGUCAUCCGCUUCUACUCAACCCCAAUACAUGGAGUUUAUCCCAACUCUAGGAUUUCCAAAGCAUUUAUGCUUGUUUAAAUUAUGCUUUUUGAACUUGUUUAGUUUAUGCUUUUUUUGAUAUGUAAUCACUUAAGAACAUCAAAUGAUUUGAUGACUUGAUGGCUAUGUAAUGUUAUUUUUAUGGCUAUGUUAUGACUUAUGAACAUCAAAGAUAUGAUUUAUGAUGGUAUGCAAAGUCUGUCUUUUUAUAAUCAAAGUGUCUGUCUUUUAGUUUUUACUUUGUUCAGCAAAUGUAUGCAUCAAGGAUCACAGUGAUAUCUGUUGUGAAAAUUCAAGGACCUAUUUGAUGGUAUUUUCACUAAUUUGAGGAUCGAUAUGAUGGAUAUGCAUAUAAUUCAAGGACCAAUUUGAUUGAAAUUUUUUGACACAAGGGUUUGAUUCAUUCAUUGACAACCUCUUUUCAUUACAACAUUACAUGGACUUGGCACAAUCAAUAACAUUUUAAAACUCAAUCAAACAAAAUACUCCUAUCAAUAUCUUAAUCAACCUAAGCUCACUUCCUACACAAUCAACUUUAUCGAUCAACCUUGUCCUCCAAACCUCUUCUUUGCCCCUGUCCUUUGACUUCUCCAUUAACCUUGCAUUUCUUUCAUGACCAGCACCAUUGUUUUUAAAAUAACCUAGUUCUUCAACUUCAUCAACCCACAUAAAAAAUUUACAAUUUUCACCAUCAUCUUAUGCAAUCAAAAGACAAAAUCAGUACUAUUUAAAUAAACCAUUCGGACAUCACAUAACCAUUGUUAAACAAACCUUUGGCAGAGGGCAGGCAUAGAAAGGCCUUCCUGCGUUAUUGACAGUGUUGGCUUUUCUUACAACACAAAUUCUAGGACACCAACAUUGAAGCUCUCUCACCUCAUCAUUGUACAUAGAUCUUGAAGAUGAAGACCGACUGUUGUAGUUGUUUUUGCGCAUACGCCCAAUGACCACUGGUUUUUGAAUUUCGAAUUGAAUAAAAAAAAUUAGGGUUUUAAGUUUUUUGAAUUGGGGAAGAACAUUGACAUCAAUUCAUGUAAGAAAUUUGGGGGAUUUUGAACUCUAGGUAAAAAAUUAUAACAUUAGGGGUUCUAAAUUUAUAUAUUUGGGGUAGAAAGAGUCGUUAAUGAGAAAGAGGAGAAAGAGCCGUUAAUGAGAAAGAGGAGAAAGAGUCGUUGGCAAUUUUCUGAAAAUCCAUCAAUUUGGUCCUUGGCAAUUUUCUGUAAAUUAAUCAAUUUGGUCCCUGCAGUGAAUUAAAUCUAAUUCUUUUUUCAAGAGAUGACAUUUUGCAUAAAUUAAAUCUAGGGUUAAUAUACUCAAGUCACGCGAAAAAAUAUGUUAAAUCUAGGGUUAAUAUUGGGUCACAGGUUAACAUUUAGAAAUAAGAGAUGACAUUUUGUAUAAAUUAAAUCCAGGACUAAUAUAAUUUGUUUAGUAAAAUUAAAGAGAAAAAUUAGGAGUGAUUUGUUUAUUUUGAUUUCCCUAACAAUUAACGUUAACAUUUUGAUUAAAUUAAACAGGAUUAAUUAAAUAGGAUUAAUACAUUAAAAUUAAGCAAAUAAGUUAGGUUAAAUCUAGGGCAAAAUUUUACGUUCGGGUUAACUUUAAGAAAUAAAAUAGGUUAAGUAUAGCAAGAUGAGUUAACAUUUAUAAGUAAGAGAUUAGGUUAAGUGUAGCGAGACGGGUUAACAGUUAUUCCUUUCCAAAGAAACACAUAUAAUUGGGAACGUAAUUUUAUUUUACUUUAGAUAAACAUUAAAUGCAAAAGUGAGGAGGGAAAAAUUAAGUUAAAAUUAGAGAUGACAUUUUGCAUAAAUUAAAUUUAGGGUAAUAUAGUAAAGUCACGCGAAAAAUAAGUUAAAUAUAUGGUUAAUAUUGCGUCACGGGUUAACAUUUAGAAAUAAGAGAUGACAUUUUGUAUAAAUUAAAUAUAAGGUUAAUAUAGUAAAGUCACACGAAAAAAUUAGGUUAAAUCUAGGGUUAAUAUUGCGUCACGGGUUAACAUUUAAAAAUAAGAGAUGACAUUUUGCAUAAAUUAAAUCUAGGGUUAAUGUAGUAAAGUCACACGAAAAAAUUAGGUUAAAUCUAGGGUUAAUAUUGUGUCACGGGUUAACGUUUACAAAUAAGAGAUGACAUUUUACAUAAUUAAAUCUAGAUUAAUAUAAUUUGUUUAGUAAAAUUAAGGAGAAAAAUUAGGAGCGAUUUGUUUAUUUUGAUUUUCCUAACAAUUAACGUUAACAUUUUGAUUAAAUUAAAUAGAGUUAAUUAAAUAGGGUUAAUACAGGAAAAUUAAGCAAAGAAGUUAGGUUAAAUCUAGGGCAAAAUUUUGCGUUCAUAUUAACUUUAAGGAAUAAGAGAUUACAAUAGUUGUUAUGUUAUUUUUUUCUGUAGUGCUUUAGGCUCUUGUGUUGCAAAAUUUUAGUUUACGUAACUUUAAUUUUCACAAUUAUAAAGGACAACAAUUUUCCGUAAUUUAUAAUAUUUCUCCUUCGGAGCUAAAUUUUAAAAAAAUAUCGCGAAGCACAUGUUUGUAACUAGUAAUAAUAAAAUAGAAACACACUUAAUUUCCGUUGGAUAAGAUAAACAUAAAAAACAAAAGGCUAAAUUAAUUUUUUGGUCCUCUAACUAUUUAAUUGGUAUCGGAUUGGUCCUCUAACUAAAAAUUGAUUUAUUUAUGUCGUCUAAGUUUCUCACCGUUACUACAUUUAGUCCUUUAUGUUAGCUUUAUUCAAAUAAACGUUAGGGUUUGUGUUAUGUGGGUCCUCUAACUUUAUUUAUUAGUAUCAUUUUGGUCAUAUAUCUUGUUAAAGUAUUAUGAUUAAAUAGUGACUAAUAUUAUUGGUAACUGUUAUGGUUUAUAUGUAUGUGUGAAACAGGAGGUCAGACACCCACAUAAGACAAACCUUAAUGUUUAUUUGAAUAAAACUAAUAGAAAGGACUAAAUGUAGUAACGGUGAGAAACUUACAGAACCGAAAUAAAUCAAUUUUUAGUUAAAGGAUCAAUCCGAUACCAAUUAAAUAGUUAGAGCGCAAAAAAAAAAAAAAAAAAAAAGGUAAUUAAGCCAAAACAAAACAAGGGUUAGCAAAGCUACUUAAACCAAACAAAAGACUAAAGGCGUGUCGUACUCCCACUCGUAGGUAGGAUUGAUUCCUUGGAAUAAAAUAAAUCCAUUAGCGUAAGCUGCAUCAGGACCUACUUACCUUCGUUUUCGUCCUCUCUUCUUAACACGGCCAGGCCAGGUACAACUAACUAACUACAACUUCCAUAAACUCUUUCUUUUUCCUCUCUUUAUUACUUUUUCAUUGCUAUUUCAAUUUUUAAGUUGAUUAAUGAAGUUUAGGGCUGAUCAAUGGAUAUUUAAUUGGAUUUUAACCUAACCAAUUAAUAACUGAUCCACUGUUUCGUAGAGGUGAUUGAUUGUCUCUGUAAAUGUGCUUUAUUUGAGUUUCGUUAAAGAGUAAUUACUUGAUGAGCAAGUGUUAAUGUUAUCCUCCAGUACUAUUGAUUUUGAUUAACUUGAUGAACAAGCGUUAUCUUCAUUUUAAAUAGUUUUUCGGGACUGCUAGUUUUGGGACCGCUAGUUUUGGUCGGUCUAACUUAUCAUGUUGUUAUUUCAAUUUUUUAAAUAACAUUUUAUAAUGUCCGUAAUUUAAAGAGGAAAAAUAAGCCCUCUUCUAUCUUCCCCUCUUAAACCCUCCAUCCAAACACACCCUAAAAGGAUUUUUGGACUUUAAAUUUUGCGAGAUUGGUUUGCAAUAUGGUAGUACUUAGCUAAGGGAACUGAUGCCAAGUUGUCAAUAGUAUUAUCACUAGAGGAGACUUGAUUCAUGUCCAACUUCUUGCGUUGUUGAUGUUUCAGGAUUAUUUAUCGGUUGCACUUAUCGCCAUUGUCUUCCUCUGGAUAGGUUGGCACUUCCUUGAGAACUAAAGUUCAUCUGUAAUCACUUUCAAGUUUUAACAUCUGGUGUAGAAUAUCUUGAGAACAAGGCACCUAUUACUGAAUCUGGAACUCGUAAAUCUUUGAGGCAUUGUUUACUGGUGGGAAAGGGAAUAAAGAUCAACACUCUGAAGGUCAUCAAUCUAGCUUAGUUUGGGGCCAUCCGUGGACUUGAAGAACACCAAGGGCUGCUUUCAUGUUGAAAUUGUUUACACUUCGGGGGCUGCCAUGGAGCCCUGGUAGUGGUAGUCGGGAAAAGGUUUGCUUUGAUCAGCUUUUGCGCUGCGUUUCUUUUGUCAUUGAUGAAGGUUCUGUUAUAUCGUACUGAAGUAAAUUAUAUUUUGUAGGUUGAACUAACAGCUGCAGAAGUAGAGUCUCUUCGAUCAGAACUUGUUGAUUUGGAGGAGAAGGAGGCUCAGUUAAAAGCUCAGUGAGUGAUCCAUAACUUUUUACUGUUACAUCAUUUUCUGUCUUACAAUGCAUUACUAGUUAUCAUCAAAUAGAAGUUAGCUUUCGGUUACCAUUCUUGGGAUUUUGUAUUUAUUUUUGAUCAAAUUUAUGAAAACAUUGAAUAUGACAAAGAUGGGAAUUCAGGUUCUGGCCAUAGAUUUAGAGUCUAUACACACAUGAUUCUUUUUGCUGUUAAAGCUGUUAAAGGCAGCUACUUGACGUUGGAGUUGAAAUUCAGUGUUUAAUCUUUAUCCAGCCCUCCCCUAUCUGGGGAAUACUUUUUGUGUUUUCUAUACAUAACCUUGAUCUUUUUAUAUGACACAGGUUGGAAAAUAUUGAUGAAAUUUUACGGUCAGCUCGUCUAUCCGGAUAUUUAUACAUCCGAACUGUACUUAACUGUCCAAACCUUCAUUAGUUCAUUUUGCAUCCAUCUGCUUGUCAUUACCUAACGGGCUUAGUACUGACUGGCUUUCUCUUUUUCUCUACAGAGAUGGACAGAGCUUCCAGGAGAAUCUCCACCUAUUGAUGAUACCAAUGUAGAUGAUUGGCUUCCUCGCUUUGUUGUUCUUCAGGGUGAAUGUCUAUUCAUAUAUUUGUUGAGUACAGGUUGUGCUACUAACUUCUAUUUUAUAUGCAAAGCUGUAUUUCUCACUGUAAUGCCUUUACCAGAUGAAUCUCUCUUAUAUUCUCUCGUUGGGUUCGCAUUUUUCAUAUAAAUAUGUGUUUGUAUUCGUGCCAAAUCUUGGAUGAUAAUCCUGGAAUGCAUGUAAGAAAGUCAAUUUCAAAACGUAGUAUUAAGAAACUUUAUUUGUUAUUGCAAGAAUUGCAUGCAAGUUUUGCUAACAUGUGGCCUCCCAACAGUUUUAGUAUAAAGAACUUUGUGGAUUGUCUUAUUUCUUUAAAUAUGUCUGCUAAGUGCUAAUGAGUACCUUAUCUUCAUUUCUAGUUAAAUGCAUGACACUACCUACCAGAACAUCUAGACUUAUGCUUUUCCUUUGGUAUAAUUUUUAUUUAAUACUAUUUUUUCUUGGUAUAUUAGAACACUUCCUCUUGUGAAAGCCUAGACAAAUCACAGGCUCAACCAAAUUGAAUUAGAUUCCUUUACAAUGAACGUAUGUCUAAAAUUAGCAAGUAAGGGCAUACGUGCUCUUAGAUUUAAUUUUAAGUACAUUUGAAUCUUAACUUACUAAAACUUGAGAUGUAUAUAUAUUUAUUUGCCUCGGAGAUAAACUCACUUUUAAAAAUAUUUUUCUAAAGUUUCACCUCUUUGUACCAAUAUUUUUCGGAUGAUUGGCUUUCAUUUACAAUUGCUGAUCAAUGGGGAAAUUUCAGAUUUAAGUCCUCACGACUCAACGCUUCUAUCUGACAUUGUUGAAGUAAACCAAUUACCAAGUUUUAAGCGUGAAGAUGGUGAGAUAAGAUACGCCUUUCGUAUUUUAACACGACAUGGAUUACGAUAUGAAUGCUCGAGCAGUUCUAAGAUACAGGUAUGCCUAACUUAAGAAUAUUCGAUUAGUCAAAAAAAAGUUGAGAAUAUUUGUUUUUUAGAAGUUAACACUAUUGAUGAUCAAUUUCUAAUUGCAUGUUGUAUGUGUUUUCAUGAUAUUAAAUUAUGUAAUUCGCUCUUUUAUUCCUUUUUAAGGUGGAUUCGUGGUUAACAGCUCUGCAAUCUGACUGCAAACUGGAAUCUGAUGCAUCAACUCCCAAUGGUUCAAUAUAGAUAUAACAUGUUUUACUCCUUGUUUUGGGGAAUUUGAGAUGGCAUGAAAGAUAAACUACGUGUGUAAAUAUGAAACUGAUGCCAGGACUAUUAUUUCUUGUACAUACAACAUAAAGUAACUGAAUAGAGAUUGAUGAUUAUUUGGUCACUUCUGGCUUAUUCCAGGAUUGAUUGACCAAUUAAAUUUUGAACUAGAGGAACUAAUAAACUUUGCUAGUUUGGUGAUUGUCUACGUCUAUAUAAAAUUGAGUUCUUCCUGAACAGUUAAGUUAGUUAUACUGAGUGAUCUUGAUGGGAUCAUUUUUGUUUACGCCUAUAAGGUAAAGUGCAUUUUUUCCCCCUAAGUUUCAAAAAGUUGCAAUUUUGGUCUUCUAUGUACAAAAACUACAAUUUUAAUCCCCUAAGAUUUAGCCAUUUUACAUCUUUGGUCCUUUUGGUCAAUUUUGACCAGGUCAAAACUGAUUUGUCAAUUCAUUAAAGGAGGUGGCAUGCCACAUUUGUAUAUUGAUAUUUAAAAAAAAAAACUAAAAGCCAUGUGUGUAAUUAGUUAAAUUAAAAAAAAUAAAAAGACAAAUAAAAAGGCUUAGCACGUGAAGAACAACGAUCUUCAUCUUCUACAACAACAACAGUCAUUAAAAAAAAAACUCAAAAUUUUCUUUAACAAAAACCCAAACAAAAUUCAUAUCAACAACAAAUCUUGAACAUAGCAACAACAACAAACUUAAAUCUCAAAAGGUAAAUCCUCCUUUUAUUUAUCCAGAACCCCAAACAAUCAAAGUCUAUACUCUAUAGUAAUACGAAACUUGUACAAAUUUAUUUGAAACAUAAGUAGGGUGCCCGACUAACUAUUCCAACCUGCACAUUUUCUUGUACCACAAAGUAUGGCACGGAAGUAUAAAGCUAUGUUUGGAUGGUGAGAGGAAAGAAAGUAAAAGGAAAGAAUGAUUAAGAAAUGAAAGUGAAAGGAAAUUAUGAUGAUUUUUGGGUUGUUUGGAAUAAGUGAAAAAGUGAAAGGAAAGAAAGAUGUAUAUUUGAUAAAUGACAUAAAUAUCCUUAUGAUAUUUAUUUAAUAUAAUAAGUUGAUAUUUACAUAUUAAUAAAUAAAAAUUGAUAUGUUAAAGUAUACAUGAGAAUAAAUAUUUCAGUUAAACAAAAUUAACUAUUUUCCAACUUUAAUUACAAAUUUUUUAAUAAAAAAAUAAAAAUUUUAAAACUCAAUUUUGUAUCAAUAACUAUAAAUUUUGAUAACUACGGUUAAAACAUUUAUUAAUAUUGUUGUAUUUUUUAAUUUUAAAACAUGGAUAUGUUUGAGUAAAAAAACAUAGAUAUGUUGUCAUAUAAUACCGUUGAUAGAAGAGGCUAAUGGUUUUGUAAUUUACUAACUAGUAUAAUAAAAAAAGCAAAAAUCAAUCACUUUUUGACAGGAAAAAAAAGGGAGUACGUCCAGCCAAAUAAAAAUGGAAUAGAGUAUGAGCUUCAUAUUAGUAAUGUGUAGGAGCUUAGUACAAUUUUUUAUUUUUGUUUCAAGUUUGAACCACCCAACACUCAAGAGUGCAUAUUAUUCUAAGGGUUACUUUUGUCAUUCCAAAAAAACUGAUCCCUUCUUCACCUUUCUAUCCAAUCUAGAGAGAAAGGUUUUGCAUGUGGGUCCCAGUUAAAACAUUUUAUCCUCUCCCUUUUUAUGGUGGUGCCAAACAAUGGAAACAAGAUCUAUCCACUCACUUUCUUUCCAUCUUUCAAUCUUUCCAUAGAACCAAACAUAGCCUAAGAUAACACAAGCACCAGUGCAUCCAAAAAUUGCUCCAAGGAAUUCUUUCAUUCCACCAUCAUCAAAUAGUUGAAUGUGAAGAAAAAUGUGAUUCAUGGAAAGAAGAAAGAAUCAUGGAGAAAGAAAACGAAAGAAAUAGAAAAGAAAAAGAAAAAAGAAGGAAAAAAAAAGUGAUUCAUGGAAUGAAGAUGAGAGAAAUAUCUGAUACCAUAACCUAACCUCAAAAUUCAAUCCAAUCCUUCUUCAAUUUUCUACCUUUUUCUUCUUCUCUUUGAAUCGAUUCGGGCGCCGCUGCUGGUGGUGGUCGAGGAAACAUGCUUCUCGCUCCUAGAUUCGAUUCUUCAUCUUCCAAUUCACAUGCUUUUGGUUCAUUGUCAUCUGAUUUAAACCCCUUUUAUUUGGAUCUGCUUUUCCACACCCCUUUCAAUUACGAGAUGCUUUUUAUUUCGAAGAGAAGAAAAAGAAAAUGAGGUGAUGUUUUUGUUGUUGUGCUGCAACCGGGUUGGAUCAUGCAUAAAGAAUCAUGGAGAAAGAAUUCUGGAAAGAAGAUGAAUCGCGUUUUUGUGCUCUUUUUUCUUUUCCUUUUCUAUUUUUUUUCUUCAAAAAUUCUAAUUUUUUUAUUUUUAUUGGUGAGGUGGAAUUCUUUUUAUUUUAAAAUUAAAAAAUUGCACGCGUGGCAUGCCACUCAGUGUUGACUGAGUCAAAAUUGGUCAGAAGGACUAGAGAUGCAAAUGGGUUAAAUAGUUUUUGUACAUAGGGGCUAAAAUCGCAACUUUUUGAAACUUAAGAGAGGAAAAGUGCGCUUUAGCCAUAUAAAUAUUGCUAGUUUGAUGAUUGUAUACAUACCUUUGUAUGAAUACGAGGAGUGCUAAAAACGCUAUAUUUUCAAUAUUUUUUUAGGAAAUCUUUUCAAUAUUCUAUCUAACACUUUUUUUAUUGCGUAAAAUUAAUAUGGAUCUCUCAUUUUGAGAAUGAGACUGACGUGAAUGAUAUGAUUCACAUUGAUAGUAGCUAAUAAAAAAGUGAGUAUUAAAGAGUGUCAAAAAAGUAUAUAUGACAUUUCUCAUAUAUAUAAACAUUGCUACCAGAUUAGGGUUUAUGGGUUUCUAAAUUAGAUUUAGUUAAUUUGGGGAAAAAUAUUAUUUGAGGAUUAUUGUUGAUAUUUUAAUAUCAUAUAGCUAUAUAUAUUUUUUAAAAAUUUGGUAUUCGGUCUAAGGACCGACUAAUCUUAAGGGUCCAAUCCCAACCCUUUACUUGUAGGACAAUAGACUAGUUCAUUGAAAUUGGCAUAAGACAAAUCGAACCUAAGACUUUGAGAGAAACACAUUUUGAAGUUCCAAGCCAACAUCACAACGUCAACCCAAGCGGGUUUAUAGAUAUGUGAAUUUUAUUAAUUAUUAUACUUAUUAAAAUUUAUGUAUUGAAUUAAAAUAAAUCUAAAUGACGUGGAUAUUCAAUAUGUCAACAUGUUAUAUGGAGAGGUGUCAAAUGGGUUGGCCCAACUACAAAAAUGAGUCAGACCGCCCCAGUCCAUUUGUAAUUUGACCACGAAUUCUAGUGUCCGGUCCGAUCUGUGUGGGUCAUGGGCCAGUCAGGCUCGAUUCGUUUAGUUUUUUUUUAUUUAUUCAUUAUUUUUUAAUGUAUUUUUGAUAUUUUAGUUACCCACAACCAUCUUUUUGCUAAAAUAUGAUUGAAUGAACAUAUAAAAUGUAAAUAAUAUUUACAUUAGCAUUAAACUCUAGAUUUAUUCCUUCAAUUGAAUCGAAUUAAUAAUUUAUGAACUUUAAAAUUUUAAAACUUUGAGCUUAAUUUAUCCAUUUUUAUUAAGCAUACUUAUUUAAAUAUUGUUUAUUAAUAAAUUUUAAAUUUGUUGAUAAUCUUUAAAAAAUAGUUUUUUAACAAUAAUCAAAUGAAAUUUUGGAUAGUGGCCGACCUGAAACCCUAUGGAUUAGCUAAACCCAUUGGGGAAAAAAAAAAAAAAAAACUCAAGUGUAUUAAUUACCGCCCUUCUCCAAAUACAUUUUGCUCGCGCCCAACUGAAAUAUUAAAAAUACCAAUGUGUUAGUUAAACAACUCAAGUUUUAAAAUCUGUGCAUCUUAACAUGCGCUGCACAACUUAACUCACGCUGGAAUUAACGCUUGUGUAAGUUAACUCACGCUGGAAAUUAACACUUACAUGAGUUAACUCACGCAAGGGUAUUUUGAAAAGUACAGUUGGGCGCGAGCAAAAUAUGUUGCGAGAAUAGCAUAAUUCAAGUGCAUUUUGGACUAACUAUUUAAAACCCGGUCCAAAAUGUAGACUAAUAAACCGAUCCAUUUUUUAGAGCUUUGAUAUGUCUACAUUUUUUUUUUUUGAGAGAUGUGAUAUGUCUACAUGUGAUCUACCAUCUAACAUGUCUACAAAUUAAAGAAAAAAAGAUUAGUCAUCAAAGGACCAAAACUUCAAAAAAAUAAAUGAAAAAUGCUCUUUAGUACGACAAUAUACACGCACGAGAAGCGACGAACCAUUCACAACCCUUGGAUUUUUAUUCCUUCCUGUAACCAAUUGAAUUCUCUCUCCCAUGUUUUACUCUUUCCACUAUUUCCGCUCGUUGCCUUUCGUCACUUUUGAAAAUAAAAAUAAAAAGACCAAAAUGUAUUUAGACUUUUUUUUUGUUACAACUCUUGUGGUACGACUUGGUUCACAUAAGUGACCAAAUCCGAGUUUUUUUUUGUUGACGUUUAAUCCAAGUUACUCGUUUUUUGUAGGGAUCAUCCGUAUAUAGCUUUAUGGAGUUUCUUAUUUUGAAAUUCUCUCAGCACAUGUCUUGGCAAUUUGUAUAGUGUAAUUUUCUAGAACUAUCAACAUUUGUAUUUCCAUGAUCUAUUUUUUUAGUGAAGUCCAUGAUCUUAUUUUAUGAAGAUAUUUUUAUACGUCAACGAAAAUGUCAAAUCCAUACAUUAAGAAAGAACAUCAAAAAAGAUAGAAGAAAAAUGUCAAAUCCACAUUAAGAACAUGUCUGUUAAACAAUCCCAUCGCAAUACAAAAUAUAAGAAACUUUCCUAAACUAUCCAAUUUGCCUUAAAAAAUACAAAAAAUGGACGUCAUUCAAUACGUACCAUACCAGCUAGUAACUACCACCAAGUGCCUUAAAACAACAACAAGAAGAAAGAACAUGUACUGGCAAAUAAAUACUACCCCGUGAGACUAUUUAUUGUUCAACGUUAAAAUACCAGUACACCUUUUCUUUUGACAAGUACAUCGUGGGCACAACAUUGUUUGGCUCAUCUACUUACUAUAUUAUAAAAGUAAAUUCCUAGGAUUUUACCAUUUUGCCCUUUGGAAGGGUAUUUUAGUAAUUUCCUAUUGAUGGGGUGUGGUUAAUGCCACCUCAUCAUUUUAGGGUGCAUUUCCCAUUUUGCCCUUCACCAUUUUUUUAAUUAUUUUAUAAUUUUUAUAUUUUUAAUAACUUUUAAUUUUUAUUUUUUAACUAUUUUUUAAUUUUUUCACCCAAAUUCAGUUGCUUCUAAAUUGCCGUUGUGGGAGAGUAAGGUAUCGCUUGAUCCGGCUUUUUUCCAACUUCUCUACAUUUUUAAGGAGAAGUUAGGUCAAACACACUAUCAAUUAUUUUAAUUUCAAUAUUGUUUUAUCAUCACAACCUCACAAAUAUUUUUAUUCACACUGUCAUUUAAUGAUACUAUUAUUUCCUUUCUUCAACCUGCAAAUAUUUACACACACACAUUAACGUUUAGAGUAAUAUUUUAUGUCCGUCUGUCUGUGUUUUUGUUACGCUGAUGCAUAUAAUUUUUUUUAGAGUUGCUUGGUUGAGUGCUACCUCACCGAUUGUUUUUAACUAUUUUCCAAUUUUUAUAUUUUUAAAUACUUUUAACUAUUGUCCAAUUUUUUUUCCCAAAUUCAGUUGCUUCUACACUGCCAUUGUGGGAGAUUAAGAUACCGUUUGACCCGGUUCUUUUUUUUACUUCUCUACAUUUUUAAAAAGAAGUUAGGUCAAACACAAUAUCAAUUAAGUACUUACUAGAAAGGGAACAUUUUUUAAUGCAUAGAAUUGAAUGGAAUGAGCUUUGGCCAAAAGUUGUUGAAUGCUACUUUAAAAAACUAUUUCUCGACAAUAUAUUUAACAAGCACCUAUUUUCAACUCACGCUGGGAACCUUUUCUUUUAUUUUUUAAUAUUAUAUUUCAAUAUAUUUUCUUUUCAUUUAACUUUAUUUUAUUUUAUUUUUUUGAACAGUUCCAUUUAAUUUUAUUAUCUUUUUUUCAAAAGAUUUUUAUUAUCGUUUUAUCACUUAUAUAUUUAAUUUCAAAUAUAUUUUAGUAUUGCUUGGUUGAGUGCUACCUCACCGAAUUUUAUUAACUAUUUUCCAAUUUUCAUAUUUUUAAAAACUUCUCACUAUUUUCCAAUUUUUUUAUUGUUAACUAUUUUCUAAUUUUUUUCUCACAAAUUCAGUUGCUUCUACACUGCAGUUGUGGGAGAUUAAGAUACCGUUUGACCCGUUUUUUUUUCUUCAACUUCUCUACAUUUUUAAGAAGAAGUUAGGCCAAGUACAAUAUCAAUUAAGUACUUACUAAAAACGGUACUUUUUUUAAUGCAUAAAAUUGAAUGGAAUGAGCUUUGGCCAAAAGUUGUUGAAUGCUACUUCAAAAAACUAUUUCUCGAUAAUUUAUUUCACAAUCAUCUCUCUUCAAUUCACGUUGGGAACCUUUUCUUUUAUUUUCAAAUAUUAUAUUUCAAUAUGUUUUUUUCUUCCAUUUAAUUUUUUUUUAGCCGUUCCAUUUAAUUUUUUAAAGGAGGUUCCAUUUAAUUUUAUUACCUUUUUUUCAAAGAAAUUUUAUUAUCUUUUUAUCACUUAUAUAUUUAAUUUAAAUAUCGUUUAAUUAUAACAACCUCACAAAUAUUUUUAUUUACGCUAUCAUUUAAUGAUACAUAAUAUUUUUAUUUUCUUUCUUCAACCUCGCAAAUAUACAGACACACAUAUUAGCGUUUAGAGUAAUACUUUAUGUGUGUCUGUUUUUUUAUUACGCUGAUGCGUAUAAUUUUUAUAAAAUUUUGAUUUUAAUUAAAAGUAAAAUUGUAGAUGUCUUUUCUUCAAAAAAGGUAUAGAUGCCUAAAAAAAUUAUACUUAUCUUUUAAAUAUAUAUUGCACCUUUAUAUCGUAACAAACUAUGCAUAUCUUUUUCUUAUUCAAAAAAACUAAAUAUUGCUAAAUAGAAAAGGUAUUAUUUUCUAUUUUGUCAACAUCAGAUGAUAGAAUUUUGUAUAAGUUUGAUAAUGACCCAAAAAAUGUCUUUUCUUAUGUAGUGGGAAUAUAGCUGAUGUAACACUAUGGGAAAAAUACUCCGUAGCUUUAUCGUUUACCAUCUAUUUACCUUAAGUUCCUUCCUUCCAUUUUGUAGUCAAUGGCAACCCAAAUAUAUGUAACAAUUGGUCAGGUUCGAGGUUGCUCAUCAACCUACAUCAUCCGGUUGUUGAGAAGUUUAAGACUUAGUAAGUUUGCAUUAUGAUUUCUGUAACACCCAAGGCUGACGAGGGCGGGGAGUGGUCGCCGGUGCACAAGGCACGACAAUGAGCGGCUCCCGACAGCUUCUAGAGGAACCGAAUCACGCCGGAAUGAGAGGGAUCAUGAGGCCUUGUAGGUAUGGGACUACAUGGUUGAAGGAAGGCUUAUAAGAAUUGUUGGGUACUACCUAUAUCAACAAGAUGCAUCUUCUUUUCGGUAGCUCAUUCCAUAAGAACUCCACAGUUAAGCGUGCUUGACUUGGAGCAAUUUUGGGAUGGGUGACCUACCGGUAAGUGUGCGAGUGAGGACAAAACACGCUGAAAAGACCCGUGUUGGUUUGUGGGGUCAGUCGACAAUGCUGAAAGCAGUCUGGGAUGUUACAAUUUCACAAUACAGUGUUAGAGUAACUUAUUAUUUCACAAUCCGAUUUGAUUGUUUUUUUACCAUGUUUCUUAAAUUGUUGUCAUGACUUUAACACUUCUCAAGCUCAGAGUCAAACUUCAGUUAAAACUUAAGUCAAAGUUCGACUUCUUCUCAACGUACUUCGUACAACGAUUUUUCCAAACUAUCACAUGUUAGGCCAAUUGCUGAAUUUAUAAACUUAGUCAAUGUCUGUUUUUCUUAUGCACAAACAUGCUUUGAGUUUUUUUACGCACAAAUUAAAAAUACAUAUUGCAUUAUUCUUUAUUUUAUGUGCAUAAUUUGUGUUAGGAAACAUAUUGCAUCACUAUUUGGAAAACAACUAAAUUCAAUCAUAACCAGUUUGGAUUGUAUUAUGAGAGUUGCACCAAAUGUUCGAAGACAUCAAUGUCAAAUGGUGCUGGCUAUAUAUGCACAUGCGGAAGUAAUGCUUAAUUUUCAUUUGUUUCAACAAUGUUAAUUGGUCAACGGGGUGCAUAUAAUGUACAUGCAUGCAUUUAUCUAGACUUUAUAGGAAGAUAAUAGGAUGAUAAAUUAGAAGUCAUGUUACAUUUUCUUUAGCUUAAAAUCAGUUAUGCUACCUUUAUUUUAUAAAUUAUAUAUAACUAUAUUCACAUACAUCUUAUCCAUGUAAAUAUGCAUUAGACUAAUAUUGCAGUUAUUUUCCUGUUUAGCAUUUCCCAAACGAAGUGUCAAGAACAAUUCUGAAAGGAAAGCGCAAAACAAUCACUCUCAUUGAUGACCAGACACAGAGACAGUAUAACUGUCAUCUCAUUAUCGCCGAUGGAGCAAGCUAUGAAAAUUACUUGGGUGGGUAGUGGUUCAAUUUCUGCAGAUAACGAGUGAUGGAAGAAGGUGGUAAGCUCAUCUUGGAUCUCGAAAAGUCACAGAAGAACUUGCAAAUUCGAGUUGUUCCGAAGUAGAUCUUUAUUGUUGAACUAUUUUAACUUCUACUAUUUUGAUGUAUCGCUUUGGACUGUAAUCGUAAACUAUCUUGACUUUGGGAUGUCAUUUGUUCUUUUCAUUUUGUCUGAUGUAAGUAUUGACAAAAAUUCCUUUUUGGUUAGUCUAUGAAACUUGCAAUCUCUUUUAUAAACCUAACUAUUAUGUAACGUUAAUCUGUACAUUGUUGGUUCCUUCAUUGGUUCCAAUUAGUAUCAUGUUAAUUGUAAUGUUGUUUUCCUAAUCUCUUGAGAAAAAUAAAACAUGCUAUUUUCCUACAGUAAAUCUUUACAAUGCUUUGGUAAAUGUUUUAGAAAUGUACAUAUAUAUAACUUCAAAUUAUCACUGCAAUUUGUUUUGUACCUAGCACUUCUCAAAUGAGAUAUCAAUGACAUUUCUAAAAGGAACAUGGAAAACAAUCACACUCAUCGACAAACAAGCUCAAAAAAGGUAUAAGUGUCGCUUGAUAACGGCAAAGAGAGCAAGUUACAAAAAAUACUUAGGUGGCCAAUGGUUCAAAUUUUGCCAAGAACAUAUGUUAUAGGUAGGUGAUAAGUUAAUUUUUUAUCUAGAGAAGCCACCUAAAAAUAUGCACGUUCAAGUCGUUUCCAAAUAAAGAUUUGGUGUUCAUGAUCCGCACUUUCAACAUAUCACCUUAACUUUAAUCCUAGACUAGAUUAUCUUCACUCAUUGAUGCUACUUGUUUGCUUGAUUUCAUUUGAUGUAAUAUGGGUAUUACAACAAACUUUUUUAUAAUUUUGGAUAAUAUGUAAAUUCACACAUCAUUGAUUCCUUUAUUGGUUCCAAUAGUUUUCAUCCUAAAUAUUAUGUCAAUUCCUAAUCUCAUAAACUGAUUAUAUGCUCUCUUAAUCAGCCCAUACAUAUUUUAUGAUGAAUCACAAUGUUCUGUCGUUUUAACAUCUCUUCUUUCAAAGAUUUUUUUUAUCGAAUACGUUAUUGAACCCGUGCGAAGCACGGGUUUAUAACUAAUUUAUUUAUAUAAAGUUGUCUCAAGCAACUUAGAUAGAGACGAAUUAACUUUUGAGUUUUUUUAAGGAAAAUAACUUUUGAAUUAUUCAAUAGACACACAUAGCUUUAUUUUUUUUCGUUCAAAACAGAUUUACUUUAAAUCCUAUUUUUUUUGUUCAAGUUACUUUAAAUCCUUUUAAUUAGUGAUGAUGAUAAAAAAGUUUAUAAAACAUAAUUCACAUAUACUAUAAUAAAAAUUUUGUUUUAAAAAAUACUACAAUAAAAUGCUUGUGCCAAAAAAAAAGUUUUUUGGCCGGAUAAUAAAAUGUUUUUAUUUUUUCCUUGAAAGAGCAACAAUAUAUUGUUAGUAUCUUUUUUUUUUACAACAUUGUUAAUUUAUAAUCCCCUAAAAAAAACUGACACCAAACUAGGAGCAAACUCCAAUAUUUCAAGUUAACACCACAAGAUUAAAAGUAGGGUGUUUUGAUUUCAACAAAAAAAUAAAAUUGAAGCUCAUCCUUUUUAGGAGCAAACUCCAAUGUUUCAAGUUAACACCACAAGAUUAAAAGUAGGGUGUUUUGAUUUCAACAAAAAAAAAAAUUGAAGCUCAUCCUUUUUUUUUAGAAGAAUUUGAAGCUCAAUCUUCUCACUUAAAGUUUGCAAAUUUUCAUCCUUGUCAUUAAAAAUACAACCAUAGUGUUAUGUCUAUAUUGUUCAUACCGUAGAAGUCUACACAAUGUUCAAUAAAAGGAAAUAUCUUUUUGAAAACCACCUAAAGCACCAAAUUCCAUCCGAUACUUAUAAAAUGAAUCGUGACUCACAAAUUCAAAGCCUAACCGAUUUGCCACCAAAGAGUCAAAGACCACGACCUUUCAAUAACAUUAUCUUCAACCAUUAUGCAUCCUCUUAUACAAAGGUUACCAUUGUUAUUGAUAACUCCUCUCCUAAUCAAAUUGUCUGAAUGUGAUUCAGAAUCAGACGUCAAACAAACAGGGAAACUUUUGCAUCUACAAUGAAAUUUUCAGUCGAAAAAAAUAAACUACGAUAGGAUUCACCCAAUAGAAGGAAAAAAAAAAUCUACGAUGCAACACUUAGGAAUUCCUCCAAUGGUAUUAUUGUUCAUUGGUUUUAUUAAUCUUUUUCAUAACGGAAAAAAGAUGUAAGACAUUAUUAUUGUUUUUUUAAAAUGGUUGACGUCAUGAAACAAAUGGUAAUUGUCAAUAAACAAAUGUCACAACUGCAGAAACACAAGUCGACUUCAAUCUAAACAAAAUCAAUACAUGAUAAAAUUGCAAAUUGAUCUUAGUGAACCUCUUGAUUCACCUCUUCACGAAUAUUGCAAAAAUCUAUAUUGUAAAAACAGAGGCGGAUCCACCGUGAAACAUGGUGUGGCAGUUGCCGCCACACCAGAUUAUUUUCCAUUUUUUUUUUUCAUAUACUUGACUUAUAUAAUGAUAUAUAUAACAUAAGUCGCUGACAUAUCACAUGUUUCUCUCUUGGUCUAGCGGUUUAUACUUGAUGGAUGAUUCGUAUGAUUUGUGUUCAACUCUUGCCGAGUUGCAGUUUUGAAUUUAUUGUUUAAAGUGUUAAUGGUCUACUAAUAUAUAUAGUUUCUUUGAAAGUUUUGCCACGGUGAAGACAUUGAAUCUCGAGGAACAAUAUCUCAUUAGUCAAUAAGUCUACCGACUAAACUCAUAUUUUUUAAAUGUGGAAAAAAUUAUCAACACUCUUACAACAACAAAUUAAAAUUUUACAUAAAUAACACGAGAAUACAAUCAAAAAGAAAAAUUACACAAGAAUAAGAGUAAAAAUUACACGCUUUCUGGUAUGGAUACUCUAUUUAUUUUUUUUCCGCGUAAAAUGAGUUUGAAAAAAAAAUCAAAAGUAGCUUUUCCUUUUGUUUUAUUUUAGGAAGAAAAAUGAAAAAAAAAAAAAGAUCAAAUAGUAGUUAGUUGCGUAAUGAAUCGGAUGGAUGAAAAGUACUAUUAUUUGCUGACCAACCAAACCUAAUUUAGUAAAACAACAGUAUCUUAGCCAGCAAUUACGCUGAGCACGUUUCAAUAACACCAUACCCUACUCUAUCGACUCUUCAAAGUCAAAACCAAUAUUCCCUUAAACCACCGUUACUUAACUGCAUUUAAAGUCUCAUCUACUCUCUCCAUUUAAAAUUUCUCAUUCUCCGCUUAACUUAACCAUUUUUCUCUUCGCUAUCGUUAUUGAGCCAUGGCGCAGGAAAGAUUCAUCAUUGAGGUUGAAAAAGCGAAGGCAGCAACGGAGGAUAAACCUUCAAGAGGACCUGCGUAUCGCAGUAUCUUCGCUAAGGAUGGAUUUCCUCCUCCUAUUCCUGGUCUUGAUAGUUGCUGGGAUGUUUUUCGGUUAGUUUCGAUGCAAAUCAAUGUUCAUUUCAAUUUUCCAUGUCGAUUUCAUAGUGUCAUGACUUGAGUUGAAUUUAAUCUUCAUUUCAUUGUUUUUUAUGUUCGUAAUUAGUAGAUUUAAUUACACUAGAUCAGAUUAUGUUCAUGUUAUUUUAAUUUAAUUUAAUUUUCGUUUAAUUUUUAUGCUAAUUUUCAAAUCAGAGCUCUCUGAUCUGAAUCACAAUAUCAUAAUUAGUUGUAACAUUCAGAGUAAAUAAAUCAGAUUUUUCUAUUUGGUUUCUCGAAUUUUCUUUCUAACAUUGGAGAAAGAAAUAUUGUUUACUUUCCUUUUUUUUAGUGCAUGGAGGACUUCAAUAUUUAAUUUAAUUUUUGGAUCGAUUUUGGACUAAAUAUGAGUCAUGUGUUACUUCAUUUUUAGUUAUGUUAAAAGAAAAUAUGUGUUGUUUUAUCACAGUUCGCCACAAAUAAAGGUUUGUUUAAAUUCUGUUAUAACAUAGUAUAGCCGCUAUUUGACAAGAUUUUGUAAUAAAUAGCUUAUUAUGAAACAAUAACUAUUUCUUCGAAUUCUGUUAUACUGUUGUUCCGCUUUUUAACAACACUAGCAAAAAUUUGGACAUGUAUUAAUAAGACAUUAGCCGUUUCAGUUCUGAUUGUAUCAGUGCUUUUACAGAUUGUCUGUUGAGAAAUAUCCAAAUAAUCCUAUGCUUGGUAGCCGAGAGAUUGUGGAUGGGAAGGUAAAGUCUUGGUUACUGUAUAAAUCUCUUGUCUUUUUGGAAAUUUCCUUGCCAUAGCUUAACCGGUCAUGGAUUUGACUUUAUUUAAAUGCUCACAUGUUAUUAUUACACUUAACAGCAUGGCAAGUACAAGUGGCAAACUUACAAAGAAGUAUAUGACAUGGUGAUCAAAGUCGGAAAUUCUAUCCGCAGCUGUGGUUAUGGAGAAGUAAGUCUUACGUUUCUUCUCUUGAUUACCAGAAAAUGAAACCUUGUUUUGUUUUUGGUUAUUUUAAUAGCAUUUUCUUCUUUGUAUGAUAUUCAAAUUCUUGGAUUCUCUGUACAUGUUGGGUUGAUCAUUAUUUAAUAUUUACAAUCAGCAUUGACGUGCAAUGCCAAAUUUGUGUGGUUUCAUGCAAUUGGCAGCUUGAGAUGCCUUUCUGUUUCAGUUAAUUUCUUUGAAAAUAUAUUAUUGAUAAUGUUACUAUCUGCAACAUAAAUAGUUCAAUAGCUAUUCGCUUACCAAGAACAUGGUCAUGUAAGUUCAAUUGCUUAACUCUUUUUCACAUAUUUUCCUGUUGAACUUAAGCUGUCAAAACUUGUCUCAUAUGAUUUUGACAUUUCAGUUUUGCAUGUUAUAAUGAUUUAUAUUGAUUAGUUUUUUUGAGCUUAAUUCGUAUAUUUCUGGUUUGCAGGGUGUAAAAUGUGGUAUUUAUGGUGCCAAUUCUGCAGAGUGGAUUAUGAGCAUGGAGGUACAUUUUAUUUUGAAUUCAUUUCGUCUGUUUUCUUUUAAAUUUUUCCAAUUCUAAUCCCUGUUUUGUUCCCCAAUCUUUCUCUUGCUGCCUGAUUGACUCAUGCCUCCCAUUGAAGGUCUUGUUCUGUGGUUUCAAUCCCUUACAGGCAGCAUGAAAUUGGGAAAAGUUCCUUAUUGUGCGAUCCAGCCCAUCUGUGAGGCAUUGUAUUUUUUUCUUCCAAAUAUUGAGUCAGUUCAAUGGACCUCGAGAGUCGAGAUGUCAACCAUGUUAUGCACUCUCAUUUGGAACCUUAUUUCCGAUUUAAGUCCCCCAAAAAGGAUCCUAAGAGUUGUUCCUCUUGAACGACUCCAGCUUGCAACACCAAAGUUUCGAAGUUCUACACAUGCUCCUCCACUGAGUCCGUCCGAUGCAAUGUGUCCGUCCAAUCCAAUAUGUCCAACUUUUUCCCUCUUGUCUCCCUUAACAUUCUAGUCAAUGUCAUUGUAGAGGCUUUGCAACGAGUUAUAGGCUUUGAUGGAGCCAAAACUGAAAUUGAUUGUUGCCGCGCUUCUCAUUUUCACGAUAUUAAUUUGCAAGGCAAGUGCAGAUUCUUUGCCGAACUUCUCCAACUCUGCAAUCAACUCAAUGUAAUUUUUCCUUCUCCAAGGCUCCAACUUUGUCUACACCUUCCAGGAUCUGAUUUGUACUCUUCUAACCUCCUUUUCAUUUACCUAUCCUAUUAACUGGUUCCUACACUACAUCUGUUUUCCAACUGUCCUUCUCUUACCUCUCCUAGAAUAUACUUUUAAUGCCCUCUCUCCUUAAUACAAUACACUCACUCUGUUUGUUGCGGAUUAUGGUAAUAUUUGUUUUUUUUUUUGGUUUUAUACCCGUUCUUAUUUAUUUCUAUGUCUUCUGUGUUUUCCUUUGGUUGUUCUUGUCUGUCAGUAGUCCUUGUUGAAUAUAAAGGGCAAUAAGUUGUGUUCUUUCUGGAUUGAAACUCUGUUUCAUCUUUUGAAUGUCUACUUUCUACGGUGUUCUGCUUCUAUGAUUUAUUGCUCUGUUUCACCUUGUUAUAAUAUUCCUUUACUAGCUUCUUCCACUUGGUUGUUAUUAAGUUUUAAAAUAUAUUCAAAUAAUUGCAGGCUUGCAAUGCUCAUGGACUUCAUUGUGUUCCUUUAUACGAUACCUUAGGUAUGUGUAAACGUUUAGCAUGUUUGUACACAGUGAUGGUGCUUUAACUUAACUGCAAUUGAGUUUUGGUUUCCAAACCUACUGUACAUGAGAUUUUACACUUUGAUGUUGUUAGAAAAGUUGCAACAUUUUUGUCAAUAUGGCAUUUUUUGCUAACUUUCACCCAAGUUCACUAAUUUAUGCGAAAAACUUACCUGUUUUAUUAACAAAGUUCCUUAUAUUUGAUAAAAAAAAAAAUGCAGGCUCUCAAUUCACACUUUAUUAAGAACUUUGAUGUCUAUCUGGUAUAUUUUUGUUUUUAUCCCUUGUGAUUUUGUAAAAGAAAAAAGUGAUUUCAUUGUUCAGUUCUUUGAAAAUCUUACCUACUUUAUGAGCAAAGUUUUUUUUUUUCUUCUUUAUUGCUGAAAAAUUACCAAACCUUCACUGAAAUUUGUCAGUUGCCUAAAAUUGUGAUAAACUAUCUCACAGCAAUAACAACUUGUUUGAAAUUUAUUAACAUGCAGGAAAUUCAAAUUUUGUAUGAGUGCUAGGAACACUCUCUUUUCAACACUCUCUUUAGCACCCACUCUCUUAUUGGGUAAAAUCAUUGUGGGGCUCACACUUUGGCAAUGGGUUAUACUUAAAGUGGUGGGACCCACAUUGAUUUCACCCAAUAAAAAUGUGGGUGUGAAAGAGAGUGUUUUUAGCAUUUAAUACUGGUUGAAUGUCCCAUAGUGUAUAUAUUGAUAAUCAGUAUUUUGUUAGGUUAUUUUUCCACUUCGCUGAAAAAAAUGCCAUUCUAAUACUUUCAUAUUUAGUUUUCUAAUUUUGAAUUUCCAAUUAUCAUUGGCUUUGACACUCUCAUACAUAUAUGACUUAGGUUCUGGGGCCAUAGAAUUUAUCAUAUCCCAUGCAGAGGUCUCAAUUGCAUUUGCAGAAGAAAAGAAGAUACCUGAGGUUCAUAUAUUGAAAUUAUCUAUUUCAUAGAAAUUUAUUUUUGGGAAGGAUCAGAGAGUUAGGUACCGUUUUCUUUGAACAGUCUGUCUGAUCCCUAUCUUUAUUUUAAAAACUUUUCAGCUAUUGAAGACAUUUCCAAAUGCAACAAAAUAUCUCAAGAGUAAGUGUUUUUUAUUCUCUUCUUUCUUUGCUAAAAUACAUGUGCUUUAGAGAGAAGCAAUGACUUUUAUGUUUCUAUACAGCAAUUGUGAGCUUCGGAAAGGUUACCCCUGAACAAAAGCAAGAAGUUGAAAAGUUUGGAUUGGCAAUAUAUUCAUGGACUGAAUUUUUACAAUUGGUGAGUUAUUCAUUUCAUGUGUUAUAUUACUCUUUCUACUCUUACUUGUAAAUUGGACAUGAAAGCUGCUCCUUGUAUAAUUAAUUGGCAUUGCCUGCAAUUUCUCUGAGUCCCCUAUGCAGCAUAAAUAGUUGGUUGAGUUGUAUCACUAUCUCGGUCCUCUGGCAGUUAGCCUAAGUACUAGUGGAAUGUGUGGAAAGAAAUAAGUUAACAUACUUGUUAUGCAAUUCAAGUAAGAAAAAUAAGGAUGAUAUCAGGUCAAUGGAAACUUAUGCAUUGAUUGGUUAGUUGACUUGGGUCAAUUUUUAUAGAUACAUAUGCAUUAAAAGUUAUUUUUCUAAACCUCAUUACAAGUAUGGCUUGCAGAAAUUAAUGUCUCUUUUGCUACUUCUGUAGACAUAUUGUGGUUUCUAUUCCUUAUUUGAUUUUUAAUACUUGCCACAGGGUAAAAGUCAUAGUUUUGAUUUACCUGUAAAGAAAAGAAGCGAUAUCUGUACAAUAAUGUAUACUAGCGGAACUACUGGUGACCCCAAGGGGGUAUUGAUAUCCAAUGAGAGUAUUAUUACCCUCUUAGCUGGGGUGAAGCGACUAUUGGAGAGUGUCAAUGAAAAAGUAAGUAUUUAUCUUUUAUAUUUCACUUAAUUUAUGCACUGAACACUCCCUAUGCACAAUUUCUUUUCAUUUAAUUUUUGCAUAUUAUAUUUCUAAUUUCAAAGCUCUGGAUAUAGUUUUUUUUUUCCGGGGUUUAAGAUACUAUAUGCUUAAGUGUCCUUUCUUUGACUUACAAAAUCUCCCCUCUUUUUUCUUUCUUUACAGUUGACUGAGAAGGAUGUGUACUUAUCAUACCUUCCUCUCGCACACAUCUUUGAUAGGGUCAUUGAAGAGACAUUUAUAUGGCAUGGUGGUUCAAUAGGCUUCUGGCGCGGGGUGAGUAUAUGUACCAAACUUUUUGUUACUGAAUUAUAAUUCAUAGUGAUAAUUGAACUUUAAAUUUAAUUUUAUCACCCCAACAAGUCAAAAAUUGGAACUUUUUUGGAUUUGAAUAUGACCUUGUCCAUCAUUUGCACAAUGGCUGCAGGAUGUUAAACUAUUAAUUGAAGAUCUCGGGGAGCUAAAACCAACUAUUUUCUGUGCGGUACCCCGUGUACUUGAUAGAGUGUACUCUGGUAUGCUCUUCUGAUUGUUGUAUGACUGUUUUACCUUUGUAAAUCAUUUCUUGAUAAUUGGAGUGGGAUUUUUCCCCCACAUUUCUUACCGAUUUUUCUGAGCUGCCACCCCUUUUCCCAGCAAGAAAAUAAGUAUAUUAAGAUUCUCAACUUCGAUAUGCAGGUUUGACACAGAAAAUUUCUUCUGGAGGCUUCCUGAAGAAGACAUUAUUCAACUUUGCUUAUUCAUAGUAAGUACUAAUGAACUGUCAUGGGUCCUCUAUAAGAUAUUAGGAAACUGUGAGCGUUCCUUUGUCAAAUCACGCAGAAAUUAUCUUUUAGAUUGGUGUUAAUUUUCUUAAUUAGGUUGUUAAAUUUAACUAUUGUUCUUCCCAGUAAGCAUUGCAAUAUUCUAAAUAACAUAAGCUCUGAGAAUUUAUCGCAGUAAGUUGAAUAACAUGAAGAAAGGACAAAACCAUGCAGUAGCAUCUCCACUUCUUGACAAAAUUGUGUUCGAUAAGGUAGUAAAGUUUACAAAUAUUAAUUAAUUACCAGCCGCAGUUUGACAGCAAUGUAUUUUCUCUUUUGGCUGAUCUGGUUUUGCAAUUUUAUUAGGUGAAGCAAGGUUUAGGGGGUAGUGUACGUCUUAUUCUGUCUGGAGCAGCACCUCUAUCCUUGCAUGUGGAAAGUUACCUACGUGUGGUGACUUGUGCUCAUGUCCUACAAGGAUAUGGUAUGCAAAAAGCACAUAGAUAUAUAGCUGAAUAUUUUAUAUGUGUUUAGCCAAGUCUAGAUUCGUAUUUCAAUUGCUAAAUAUAUGGAUAUAGACUGUUGAUUAAUUUGAGAUGAGCUGUGACAAUUAGCGAAUUAAUUUUAGUUUUAAUGCAUGUUUAUAGAAAAAUAAAUAGUCUAACUGAAAUCUAUGUGGAAAUUAUUCUGAUGUUUCUUCACUCCAAUGCAGCAUAUGUAAUAAUGUAGGUAUCAGCACAUGUACCAUGGACUUCACUAAUGUGUCUUUGUUGAAAUGAAAACAGGUCUGACUGAAACCUGUGCGGGAACCUUUGUCUCAUUACCAAAUGAACUAGAUAUGCUUGGAACAGUGGGUCCUCCUGUACCAAAUGUGGAUGCGUGCCUGGAAUCUGUUCCUGAAAUGGGUUACGAUGCCCUUGCAAGCACGCCAAGAGGAGAAAUUUGUGUAAAGGGAGAUACCUUGUUUUCGGGGUACUACAAACGCGAAGAUCUCACAAAAGAGGUUCUGGUUGAUGGAUGGUUCCAUACAGGUUAUUGGUGUUUUCCAAAAUUGAACUAUAUAGAUACUAUUUAAAUUGGCUGUUGGAUCACAUUUUGAAGUUUAUAUUCUUUUAAAUUGUGUGAUUUAUUCAACAGGGGACAUUGGAGAGUGGCAACCUAAUGGAAGUAUGAAGAUUAUUGAUCGGAAGAAGAAUAUAUUCAAGCUUUCCCAAGGAGAAUAUGUUGCCGUUGAAAACCUGGAGAAUAUUUAUAGCCAAGUUCCUUCUGUUGAAUCUGUAUGUCUUGAGAGCCCUUCAUAUGGUUUUAGUGUCCUAGCUUGUAGUGAAAUUAUUCCCCAUAUAAAGUUGAAAAAAAUAUCUUUUUACUCUUUCUACUUGAAUUAAAUUUAUUGGUUCAUUAUAGAAUUAUAGAAACCGUGCCCUUGAUGGGCUUGGGACAAAUGGGGCCAAUCUUGAGCAGCUAAUAUUUUUAGCUCAGUUUGAUAAUUUUUAAUUACGGAAUUCAAAAUAUAAGCAAGCUUUAGACCGAUCAUCAGUUAAUGCAGAGACACCAAUCUCUCUUGCCUAUAAUCCAAAUUGCAUUCUUAUUUCUUGCUGGACAUAUAGUUCUAUAACUGUACUGAGCUUUAAAUUUUCACCAGCAGCAUGUGUACGUUGCCCAUAGUCCUAUGCGUUGUUGUGCACAGAUUCUGGUCCAUAUUGGUAUACUUUACAUUAGUAUCCGCAUUCUAUAGUUCAUUAUGAUCGUUUGUCUAAUAGAUAGGACUGUUCUUGUUGCAUUAGUAGCUGUACAAUUAUUCAUUGUGACAUCCAUAUGUAUCAGCUCAUAAACACAAAAAUAGUCUACUAUUAGCUUCAUUUCAUGAGUUAAAAUCGUUCUGUUCCAUGCUGAUUUGAACUUUUAUUCCUCCUGUCUCAGAUAUGGGUUUACGGAAACAGUUUUGAGGCCUUCCUUGUUGCUGUUGUUAACCCCAGCAAACCAGCACUUGAACAUUGGGCAGAAGAAAAUGGUAUAUCCGUGGACUUCAAUUCUCUCUGUGGAGAUUCUAGGGCAAAAGGUUACAUACUUGAUGAGCUCUCAAAGAUUGGAAAGGAAAAGAAGGUUCUAUCUAAUUUAAAUUUCUUAUUUUUGUUCUAAUUUGUUAUGUAUGGAGUGUGUGUAUGCAUAUAUCAUGACGAUAAAAUUUCACAUUUUUAAAGGGGGUUUUCUACAAAUAUCAGAACUAUUAAUAAUUUCCACACAACAUACUUUUUUAGAAAGUAGCCUUUUCAACGUAAUAUUAAAUGCCAACCAUCUAAUCUUAUAUUUUUAGUUUCAAAUGCUAGUAAAAAAAUUUGUACUAAUAUUUAACACAAUAUUUGCAUAGUUAACUAAGAUUCAAUGAUUGGAUGGCCCAAAAUAUUUUUUCAGAGGAUUUUUUAAGUGGUGUGUGUAUGGUCUUAUGUUUGCACCAAUUGAUUCUAUUCUACAUGCAUACCUGUUUGCAUGCAUAAGUACAUGUCCUGAAAUUUUAUGCGAUGAUGGAUAUGUUUUUGACAGUUGAAAGGAUUUGAGUUCAUAAAAGCAGUCCAUCUUGACCCAGUUCCAUUUGAUAUGGAACGUGACCUUAUCACUCCAACAUAUAAGAAGAAGAGGCCCCAGUUGCUUAAAUACUAUCAGGUAAAAGUUGUCAAAUUCUCAGGAUUUCAUUUCUGCUUCAAAAAUUAUUUCUGCUUUAUUAUUAUUGGAAUGGAUAGAAUGAGCUGUCUUUGUGUAUAUAACCUUUUUUUUCUUCCGGAUAUUUUCGUUCGACUGAGCAUAUAUAACUGAACACAGGUGUAGAAAUCUCAUCUGAUUGAGUUGACCAAGAGUCAGUUUUUAGAUGUCAUCUGCACCCAUGUUAUUAGAUUAGAUGUGAAUCAUAGUGCAACUGAUGUGCCCUGUUUCACUAUUAAUAUCAUAUUAGUUAUGAAUCAGUUACAUUACAGUUCAGUUAAAGUAGUCACUUCACUUACACUUGGCUUGUACAAGUACCUGUUCACAUAAGAAAGUUUGUUUCUUCUCGUAUUUCAUGUAUAGGUGUAGUUAACUAGUUAUGUGCCAAACAGACUUGAAACUGAACACUCGACAUGGUAGCUGAAUCCUAAGUAAUUUGGAAUACCUAACGUGAAUGUGUAAGUAAACGAGUAAAAUGUUUACAAGUGAUUAUCCUCUAAUUAAUAGUUGUUAGCAUACAAUUCUAUUUCCACUUCACUUUCAAUUGCAAUUUUCCAUUGCACUUUUAACGUUUCAAAGCCUGUUUUAAGGACUUAAUAAUUUCUGUAUUCUGAAAGCACUGACUGCUAUUUUAUUUGUGGCACAGAAUGUUAUUGAUGACAUGUACAAAAGUGGAAAUAAACCCCGUGCCUGAGAGAUGCUUUUGGAGUUGGUGCCAUGCCAUGUAGAUAAUUCAUUUUCUGCAUGUGAUUGUGCUUGCCUUUGUUCAUUUAUUAUUUCCUUUUGGUUAUUGUCUGUACAUAUGAUUAUGAAGAGACGGCAGAUGAUCUGCCUCACUCAACCGUGAAAGAUACGAUAAUACAAAGUUUAAACAAAUUGUUUUCUUCACCUCUAGCAAUAUUCGUUGCAAACUUUUGUUAGGAAAAUAAAAUAUUAUUCCAUUCCUUAUCAAAAUUAACAGUGGUGUAGUUCUUGUUUUUUACUUAGUGAUGUUUUCAAAGAUUUAUACAAUAAGCAGUGAAUGUGAAUUAUAACUGUUUGUUUUAAUGUUUAUAAUUGAUUGGUUGGACACUCCUUACUCUUUCUUGUUAGUUCUUCUGAAAGCAGUUCCAGAAUCCACCAUUCAUAUAAUGGAGAAUGUGUUUUUAAAGCUAGAGUAUCUCAAUCAUCUUAUAAUGGCUGUGGAGUUGUAUUCAGUGCAGUGAUAAUUUUUCUCAUGUUACUCAUUUGUGGGAUUUUCUCUUUUGUGGUAACACGAAGUGCCUCACGGACCAUGGUGACGUAUUAAACAGGGCACAGGACAAAUCAUCUAUUAGGGAAUAAAUUGGGAACUACAACACCUUCAUUUGAUAUUUUACAAUUACAUAAAUGGUAUUGUAGCUUCUUUUGAUACAUGAGAGUUUGGUGGAUGUAAAAAGAGAUAAUAAGGGACGUUAAUAAGAAAAUAAAGAAAUCUACAACUCGAGAGCUGGAAGCAAACACUCAAAAAGCAGAUUUUUAAAGCUGGCACCUUCACGUGUAGCUGUGUUGAUGGAAUCAUCAUUCAUUAUCCAUCGUACACGAGCUUAGAUUGAGAUUUUGUAUCACUUUAACGUUGCUAAGAAGAAUAUAAGAAAACAAGAUCGGGAUACACCAAUAAAGGAUCGAAAAUUUAAGGUUUUUGCGUUUAUUACGAAAUGUGAACCCUGUGGUAGUGUGGCUAUGUUCCAGAGUUGGAUUUUGGAGACAAAUGGAGAAAGAGUUAAUUUACAUUUUUUAACUGUUAUUUUUCUUUUACCCCGACAAGCUUAAGGUGACAAUGGAGUAAAUACAAUCAUGAAUGCGAUGAAAAAAGUUUCGAGGAACAAGUUAACCCAAAAACACAACCUGACUCUGAACUCCAACAGUUACACAGCUAGGACACAUAAAAAAACAUGAAAUUAAACAUUACCAAGACAGCCAAAAAAAAAAAAAAAAAAAAAAAACAUGAAUUUAAAUACAACCCCAUAUACCCAAAAAUCAAAAUUUGAAAUUCAAAAAUUGGAAAAAAGAAAAGGGGGAAGAAUGAAAAUCAACAGAAAAAGAACCUUCUUGGAAGCGCGAGUGAGAUUUUGUUGUUGAACCGUUCGUUUCAUAAACACAAGCUUCCAACAAUUUCGUAUUCUUCACAAAGGUAUAAUUAGUGUGAAAUUCACAAAAUUGGUUUGUGUUUUGUUUCUUAUGAGCGGAAUCGGGAAGGGAUGGUUUCGUCUAGUUCUUAAUGAAGGUCAAAGUGUAAAAUGAGGAUAGAUCUACUAGAAGAAAUGAAGAAUACAUAUACAUAUUCAUCAUUUUUUAAACCCAUAACAAUUAAUCAUGAAUAGAUGAAGGUUUAGUUUUUUUUUUUUUUUUUUUUUUUGGUUGGAUCGGAAGAGAUGAAGAUAUAAUGAUUGAUAUGAAGGAUGAAGAUGAAGAAAUGAAAGUUUAUUUUUUAUUUUUUUCAUUUAUUUAAUUUAGAAAAUAAUUACAUGACUAUUUUAUUUUAUUUUAAUUCAAUAAUUACACAUAUGGCUUGCCAUGCAAGUGUUAACUUGGUCAAAUUGACCAAAAAGGCUAAUAUGGUAAAUGAUGCUAAUUCAUAGAGGACUAAAUUUGUUAGUUUUUUUUUUUUUUAAUAAGAGUCAAAAUUACAACAUUUAAAAUGUUAAGAGGCCAAAAGUACACUUAAACUAAAACAAAUAUCUACAUUGUUAUUUAUAGUACAAUCAAUUUUAAGUCAAAACAAAACCUAUGACCGACCGACCAAUCGAAAAGGCAGUGACAAUACACAAUAAUUUGGAUAAAAAGACAACCAAUCAGAUAUAUUCUCUCAAGAGAAAAGAAAAAUCCAUUAGAUAUAUUUAGGGAUGUAAAUGAAUAUCCAUAGAUGUGUAGAUAGUGUGAUAUCCGUGUACGUUCUGUUGGACAAAUAUAAAAUCCGCGCCCUAUCCAUACCCACGCAAAUAUCCGUUUAGCGGGUAAUCCAUGGAUUUUGAGGUAUAUGCGGGUUUAUACAGAUAUCCAUGGAUAACAUUUAUUAAAAAAAAAAAACUUGUUAAUUUUUUUUAGCUAGAAUUUAAAAACAAAAGUUCAUCACAUGCAUUUUCUUUUCUUUUUAGCAAAACAUAAUAUCCGUACAUCAUAAUAACACAAAGAUCAUUGACUCAACAAAAACAUAAUUAACGUUCCUUAUAUUUAAUAAAAAUAAAGUUCUUUGAUCUGAAAAAUUAAAUAAAGCUUAUCAUAUUCAACAAAAACAAAGCUUCUUGCUUCAACAAUCCCGACCACUUUCCCUUCAUUUUAAAGGAGCGUAAUACAUACUUGAACAGUCGUGCAAUAACUAAUAACAACUCACUAACGAAGUUUGUUGCUUAGGAAUUUGAAUGAUAUUAAAGUUAUUUAUAAAAUUUACUCGAUUUAAUAGCGGGAUAGAUAUCCCCGGAUGCGGGUACCAUUAAAUCUGCAUCCGUAUCCAUUAAUUAGUGGGUAGUUUAUCCAUGGAUAUCCGUUAAAGUAUCCACUCCAUAUCCGUGACGGAUUUUAUCCAUGAAUAUUUACGGGUGCGGAUUUUUUUUUCAUCCCUCAGGACAUUUGUUUGUUUGUUUGUGUUGUAUUAAACAUUUUUCAAUUUACCAAAAAGAAGAGGACAACAUUUUAGUUUUACUCACUUGCAUGAGUCUUUUUUCAAAGUGACUUAGAUCGAGAGUUGAGAAUACAUGGCAUAGACUGUGAUAGACACAAUUUAAAAAAAUCAAUAUGUCAACUUUGAUUAAGACUCAAUUUUAACCAGCAAUUACGCUGAGCGCUCAUAUUUCUUCUCUCAUUUUCCAUAAUAAUACCUUUCUCUCUCCUUUUCUUACUUUUUCCUAUGCAUGCAUCCACCGCUAAAACGUGUUCUAGUGGGAGAACUGUUCUCUACAGUGUCAUCCACCUUAUUGAUCUCCAAUGCAUACAACAUAAGCACAUGUUCUUGUAUUCUAAGAACACUAAGAAAUAACAUUUAAAAUUUCUCAUUCUCCGCUUAACUUAACCAUUUUUCUCAUCGCGAUCAUCGUUGAGCCAUGGCGCAGAAAAGAUUCAUCAUUGAGGUUGAAAAAGCGAAGGAAGCAACGGAAGAUAAACCUUCAAGAGGACCUGCGUAUCGUAGCAUCUUCGCUAAAGAUGGUUUUCCUCCUCCUAUUCUUGGUCUUGAUAGUUGCUGGGAUGUUUUUCGGUUAGUUUUUCAUCUUUAUUUCGAUGCAAAUCUAUAUUCAUUUCAUCAAUUUUAUGUGAAUUUGAUAGUGUGAUGACUUGAGUUGAAGUUAUUCGUUCCUUAUUUAAUCUUCAUUUCAUUUUUCUUUCUAUGUACAUAAUUAGUAGAUUGAGUAAGACUAGCUACACUCUCUCUUUAAUACUAUUGUGUGAGUCUACACUUUGAAAAUUGAACUAGAUCAUAUUCUGUUUAUUUAAAUUAUUUUAAUUUUCGUUGAAUUUUUAUGCUAAUUUGCAAAUCAUAGCUCUCUGAUCUGAAUCAUCAUAAUAUCAUAACUAGUUGUAACAUUCAGAGUGAGUAAAUCAUAUUUUGUUAUAUUUGGUUUCUCAAAUUUUCUUUCUAACAUUGGAGAAAUAGUGUUUACUAAUCUUUUAUGUGUGUGCGCGCGCAUAGAGGACUUGAAUAUUUGAUUUAAAGUUCGAUUGUUAUAGUUUUUUUAAGAAAAAAAAAUCACUUUUAAGGUGUUGCAUCGUUUGUUACCACUUUUUAAUAAAAUCAGAAUCUAAAAACAGUUUCUUAAUAAGAAACUGUUAAGAGCAGUUUCUAGAAAAAAUAGAUUUUUUUUAGUGGAGAGAGAAAAUAUGGUUUAAAAUAUUAAAUUAAUUUUGUAACAAAAAAUCUCUUUUAUAAGUUUGUAUCCAAACAAACUAAAUUAUUUGUUUAUACGGUAAACAAACAAACGUAAAAUAGAUUCUGAUUUUUCAUAAAAUCUCUAAAAUAUAAUCUCUAAAUUAUUUUAUGUCAAAAUCACUUUUAUUUUAAUCCGUAACAAACCAGCCUUUAAUUUUGGCUCGAUUUUGGACUAAGUAUAAGUCAUGUAUUACUUCAGUUUAAGUUAAUGUUAAAAGAAAAUAAGUGUUGUAUGUGCAGAUCGCGACAAAUAGAGGUUCUGUUAUAACGUCGUAUAGCCGCUGUUUGACAAGAUUUUGUAAUAAUAAAUAGCUUAUCAUGGAACAAUACCUAUUUCUUCAAAUUCUGCUAUACUAUAGUUUUGCUUUUUAACAACACUAGCAAAAAUUUGGACCUGUAUUGAUAAGAAAUUAGUCGUUUCAGUUCUAAUUGUAUCAGUGCUUUUACAGAUUGUCUGUUGAGAAAUAUCCAAAUAAUCCUAUGCUUGGUAGCCGAGAGAUUGUGGACGGGAAGGUAAAGUAUUGGUUACUGUAUAAAUCUUUAAUUUUUUAUUUUUGGAAAUUUUCAUGCCAUAGCUUGACUGGUCAUGGAUUUUGACUUAUUUAAAUGCUCGCAUGUUAUUAUUACACUUAACAGCAUGGCAAGUACAAGUGGCAAACAUACAAAGAAGUAUAUGACAUGGUGAUCAAAGUCGGAAAUUCUAUCCGCAGCUGUGGUUAUGGAGAAGUAAGUCUUCUGUCUCUUCUCUUGAUUACCAGAAAAUGAAACCUUGUUUUGUUUUUGGUUAUUUUAAUAGCAUUUUCUUCUUUGUAUGUUUUUCAAAUUCUUGGAUUCUCUGUACAUGUUGGGUUGUUCAUUAUUUAAUAUCUACAAUCAGCAUUGACGUGCAAUGUUAAAAUUGUGUGGUUUCAUGCAAUUGGUAGCUUCAGAUACCUCUUAUUUUAUUUCUUUGAACAUUUAUUAUUGAUAAUGUUACUAUCUGCAUCAUAAAUAGUUCAAUAGUUAUUCACUUACCAAGAACAUGUUCAUGUGAGUUCAAUUGCUUAACUCAUUGUCACAGAUUUUUCUGAUGAACUUAAGCUGACAAAUUUGCCUAAUAUGAUUUUGACAUUUCACUUUUGCAUAUACUAAUUAUUUAUAUUGAUUAGUUUUUUUGAGCUUAAUUCGUAUAUUUCUGGUUUGCAGGGUGUAAAAUGUGGUAUUUAUGGUGCCAAUUCUGCAGAGUGGAUUAUGAGCAUGGAGGUACAUUUUAUUUUGAAUUUCUUUCGUCUUGGUUUUCUUUUAAAUUUUUCCAAUUCUAAACCGUUUUUUUUCCCCAAUCUUUCUCUUGCCGCCUGAUUGACUGAUGCCUCCCAUUGAAGGUCUUAUUUUGUGGUUUCAAUCCCUUACAUGGCAGCACGAAAUUAGGGAAAAGUUCCUUAUUGUGUGAUCCAGCCCAGCCCAUCUGUGAGGCAUUGUGAUUUUUUCUUCCAAAUAUUGAGUCAGUUCAACGGACCCCAAGAGUCGAGACGUCAUCCAUGUUAUGCACUCUCAUUUGGAACCUUAUUUCCGAUUUAAAUCCCCCAAAAUGUAUCCUAAGAGUUGUUCAUCUUGAACGACUCCAUCUUGCACUUCGAAGUUCUACACAUGCUCCUCCACUGAGUCCGUCCGAUCCAAUGUGUCCAACUUUUUCCCUCUUGUUUCUCCCUAAACCUUCUAAUCAAAGUCAUUGUAGAGGCUUUGCAACCAGUUAUAGGCUUUAAUUGAGCAAAAACUGAAAUUGAUUGUUGUCGCGCUUCCCAUUUUCUAGAUAUUAAUUUGUAAGGCAACUGCAGUUUCGCUGCCAAACUUUGCACCUCAAAGAUUUUCUCCAACUCUGCAAUCAACUUUCCUUCUCCAAGGCUCCAACUUUGUCCACACCUUCCCGGAUCCGAUUUGUACUCUUCUAACCUCCUUUUCAUUUACCUAUCCUAUUAACCCAUUCCAACACAAUACAUCUGUUUUUCAACUGUCCUUCCCUUACCUCUCCUAGAAUACACUUUUAAUGCCCUCUCUCCUUAAUACAAUACAUUCACUCUGUUGCAGAUUAUGGUAAUAUUUGUUUUUUUUUUUUUUGGUUUUAUACCCGUUCUUAUUUAUUUCUUUGUCUCCUAUGUUUUCUUUUGGUUUUUAUUGUCUGUCAGUAGUCCUUGUUGAAUAUAAAGGGCAAUAAGUUGUUUCUUGAUUGAAACUCUGUUUCAUCUUUUGAAUGUCUACUUUCUACAGUGUUCUGCUUCUAUUAUUUAUUGCUCUUGUGCUUUCGCAGUGCUGUUAGUGGACAUCCCUGGUCGCCUUGUUAUAGUAUUCCUUUUACUAGCUUCUUCCACUCGAUUGUUAUAAAGUUUUAAAUAUUCAAAUAAUUGCAGGCUUGCAAUGCUCAUGGACUUCAUUGUGUUCCUUUAUAUGAUACCUUAGGUAUGUGUAAACGUUUAGCAUGUUUGUACACAGUGAUGGUGCUUUGUCCGCAAUUAGCAAUUGAAUUUUGGUUUCCAAACCUGUUGUACAUGAGAUUUUACACUUUGAUGUUAUUAGAAAAGUUGCAACGUUUUUGUCAAUAUGGCAUUUUUUGCUGACUUUCACCCAAGCUCACCAAUUUAUGCGAAAAACUUACCUGUACUAUUAACAAAGUUCCUUAUAUUUUGAUAAAAAAAAUAUGCAAGUUCUAAAUUCACACAUUAUUAAGAACUUUGAUGUCUAUCUGGCAUAUUUUUGUUUUUAUCCCUUGUGAUUUUAUAAAAAAAAAAAGUGAUUUCAUUGAUCAAUUCUUUGAAAAUCUUACCUACUUUAUGAGCAAAGUUUUUUUUUUUUAUUGCUGAAAAAUUACUAAACCUUCACCGAAAUUUGUCAGUUGCCUAAAAUUGUGAUAAACUAUCUCACAGCAAUAAUAACUUGUUUGAAAUUUAUUACAGUACUAUGCAGGAAAUUAGUGGGACUCACACUUUGGAAAUGAGUUAUAAAUAAAGUGGUGGGACCCAUGUGGAUUUGACCCGAUAAAAUGUGGGUGUUAAAAGAGUGUUUUUAGCAUUUAAUACUGGUUGAAUGUCCCAUAGUCUAGAUAUUAAUCAGUAUUUUGGUAGGUUAUUUUUCCACUUCGCCGAAAAUAAAUGCCAUUCUAAUAUUUUCAAAUUCAGUUUUCUAAUUUUGAAUUUCCAAUUAUCACUGGUUUUGACACUCUCAAACAUAUAUGACUUAGGUUCUGGGGCCAUAGAAUUUAUUAUAUGCCAUGCAGAGGUCUCAAUUGCAUUUGCAGAAGAAAAGAAGAUACCUGAGGUUCAUCUAUUGAAAUAAUCUAUUUCUUAGUAGUUUAUUUUUGGGAAGGAUCAGAGAGUUGAAUACACUUUUCUUUGAACAGUCUGUCUGAUCCCUAUCUUUAUUUUAAAAACUUUUCAGCUAUUGAAGACAUUUCCAAAUGCAACCAAAUAUCUCAAGAGUAAGUGUUUUUUAUUAUCUUCUUUCUUUGCUAAAAUACAUGUGCUUUAGAGAGAAGCAAUGACUUUUAUGUUUCUAUACAGCAAUUGUGAGCUUCGGAAAGGUUACCCCUGAACAAAAGCAAGAAGUUGAAAAGUUCGGACGGGCAAUAUAUUCAUGGACUGAAUUUUUACAAUUGGUGAGUUAUUCAUUUCAUGUAUUAUUACUCGUUCUACUCUUACUUGAAAAUUGGACAUGAAAGCUGCUCCAUGUAUAAUCAAUUGGCAUUGCCUGCAAUUGCUGAGCCCCUUUGCAGCAUAAAUAGUUGGUUGAGUUGUAUCACUAUCUUGGUCCACCGGCAGUUAGUCUAAGUAAUAGCGGAAUGUGUGGAAAGAAAUAAGUUAACAUAAUUGUUAGUUGUUACGCAAUUCAAGUAAGAAAAAUAAGGAUGAUAUCAGGUCAAUGGAAACUAAUGCAUUGUUUGAAUAGUUGACUUGGGUCAAUUUUUGUAGAUACAUAUGCAUUAGAAGUUAUUUUUCUAAACCUCAUUACAAGUAUGGCUAGCAGAAAUUAAUGUCUCUUUUGCUACUUCUAUAAACAUAUUGUGGUUUCCAUUCCUAAUUUGACUUUUAAUACUUGCCACAGGGUGAAAGUCAGAGUUUUGAUUUACCUGUAAAGAAAAGAAGCGAUAUUUGUACAAUAAUGUAUACUAGCGGAACUACUGGUGACCCCAAGGGAGUAUUGAUAUCCAAUAGGAGUAUUAUUACCCUCUUAGCUGGGGUGAAGCGGCUAUUGGAGAAUGUCAAUGAUAAAGUAAAUAUUUAUCUUUUAUAUUUCAUUUGUAACUACAUGAAAUUGAAUGCACUGAGCACUUCGUAUGCACAAUUUCUUUUCAUUUAAUUUAUGCAUAUUAUAUAUCUAAUUUCAAAGCUCUGGAUGUAGUUUUUUUUCUUUUUCUUUUCAGGUUUAAGAUACUAAACGCUCAAGUGUCCUUUCUUUGACUUACAAAAUCUCCCCUCUUUUUUCUUUGUUUACAGUUGACCGAGAAGGAUGUGUACUUAUCAUACCUUCCUCUCGCACAUACCUUUGAUAGGGUCAUUGAGGAGACAUUUAUAUGGCAUGGUGGUUCAAUAGGCUUCUGGUGCGGGGUUAGUAUAUGUACUAAACUUGUCGUUAAUUCAUAGUGAUAAUAAUUGAACUUCAGAUUUAAUUUUAUCACCCCAAGAAGACAAAAAAUGAAAUUUUUUUGGAUUUGAAUAUGUCCUUGUCCAUCAUUUGUACUAUGGCUGCAGGAUGUUAAGUUGUUAAUUGAAGAUCUCGGGGAGCUAAAACCAACUUUUUUCUGUGCGGUACCUCGUGUACUUGAUAGAGUGUACUCAGGUAUGCUCUUCUGAUACCAUGUAAAUCAUCCCCCCCCCCCCCCCACACACACACACACACACACUUCUUACCUAUUUUUCUGAGCUGCCACCCCUUUUCCCAGCUAGAAAAAAAAGUAUAUUAAGAUUCUCAACUUCGGUAUGCAGGUUUGACACAGAAAAUUAUUUCUGGAGGCUUCCUGAAGAAGGCAUUAUUCAACUUUGCUUAUUCAUAGUAAGUACUAAUUGAACUUCCAUGAAUCCUCUAUAAGAUAUUAGGAAACCAUGAGUGUUCCUUUGUCAAAUCUUGCAGAAAUUAUCUUUUAGAUUUGUGUUAAUUUUCCUAAUUAGGUUGUUAUAUUUAACUAUUGGUCGUCCCAGUAAGCAUUGCACUGUUCUAAAUAACUUAAGCUCUGAGAAUUUAUUGCAGUAAGUUGAAUAACAUGAAGAAAGGACAAAACCAUGCAGUAGCAUCUCCACUUCUUGACAAAAUUGUGUUCGAUAAGGUAGUAAAGUCUACAAAUAUUAAUUAAUUACCAGCCGCAGUUUGACAGCAAUGUAUUUUCUCAAUUUGGCUGAUUUGGUUUUGCAAUUUUAUUAGGUGAAGCAAGGUUUAGGGGGUAGUGUGCGUCUUAUUUUGUCUGGAGCAGCACCUCUAUCCUUGCAUGUGGAAAGUUACUUACGGGUGGUGAGUUGUGCUCAUGUCCUACAAGGAUAUGGUAUGCUCUUUCUGUAUUUGAAAAUUUAAAUUCACCCGUGCAAUAAGCACAUAGAUAUAUAGUUUAAUCUUUAAUUGUGUUUAGCCAAGUCUGGUUUUGUAUUUCAAUUGCUGAAUAUAUGGAUAUAACUGUUGAUUAAUUUGAGAUGAGAUGUGACAAUUAGCAAAUUAAUUUUAGUCUUAAUGUAUGUUUUUAGAAAUAUAAAUAGUCUAACUGAAAUCUAUGUGGAAAUUAUUCUGAUGUUUCUUCACUCCAAUGCAGCAUAUGUAAUAAUGUUGAUAUCAGCAUAUGUACUAUGGACUUCACUAAUGUGUCUUUGUUACUAAUGUGUCUUUGUUGAAAUGAAAACAGGUCUGACUGAAACCUGUGCGGGAACCUUUGUCUCAUUACCAAAUGAACUAGAUAUGCUUGGAACAGUGGGUCCUCCUGUACCAAAUGUGGAUGCAUGCCUGGAAUCUGUUCCUGAAAUGGGUUACGAUGCCCUUGCAAGCACGCCAAGAGGAGAAAUUUGUGUAAAGGGAGAUACCUUGUUUUCGGGGUACUACAAACGCGAAGAUCUCACAAAAGAGGUUCUGGUUGAAGGAUGGUUCCAUACAGGUUAUUGGUGUUUUCCAAAAUUGAACUAUAUAAAUACUAUUUAAAUUGGCUGUUGGAUCACAUUUUGAAGUUUAUAUUCUUUUAAAGGCUAAAAUAUGGUUUUAGUCCCUGCAAAUAUGCCUCGUUUUGGUUUUAGUCCCUGUAAAAAAAAAAAAUUGUUUUUGGUCCCUGCAAAAUUUUUUGUUUUUGAAAGUAGUCCCUGGAGGGACUAUUUUCAAAAACAAAAAAUUUUACAGGGACCUUUUUUAAAAACAAAAUAUUUUGCAGGGACCAAAAACUAAAAAAUUGGUUCAGUUAUAAUGUGCCACGUAUGCAAAUCAUCACAAAAGUGGGGUCAGGGACUAUUUUCAAAAACAAAAUUUUACAGGGACCAAAAACAAUUUUUUUUUUAUAGGGACUAAAACCAAAACGAGGCAUAUUUGCAGGGACUAAAACCAUAUUUUAGCCUCUUUUAAAUUGCGUGAUUUAUUCAACAGGGGACAUUGGAGAGUGGCAACCUAAUGGAAGUAUGAAGAUUAUUGAUCGGAAGAAGAAUAUAUUCAAGCUUUCACAAGGAGAAUAUGUUGCCGUUGAAAACCUGGAGAAUAUUUAUAGCCAAGUUCCUUCUGUUGAAUCUGUAUGUCUUGAGAGCCCUUCCAAUGGUUUUAGUGUCCGAGCUUGUAGUGAAAUUAUUCCCCAUAUAAAGUUGAAAAAUAUAUCUUUUUGCUCAUACUAUAUGAAUUGAUGAACCCGUUGGUUCAUUAUAGAAUUAUAGAAACUGUGCCCUUGAUGGGCCUGGGACAAAUGGGGCCAAUCUUGAGCAGCUAAUAUUUUUAGCUCAGUUUGAUAAUUUUUAAUUACGGAAUUCAAAAUAUAAGCAGGCUAUAGACUGAUGCAUAGUUAAUGCAGAGACGCCUAUCUCUAGGCGUGGAUAUAUUUCUCUCUUGCCUUAACAUAAUCUAAAUUACAUUCUUAUUUCUUGCUGGACAUAUAGUUCUGUAACUGUACUGAGCUUUAAAUUUCCACCAGCAGCAGACUAUGUUGCCCAUAGUCCUAUGUGCAACUGUGCACAGAUUCUGGUCCAUAUUGGUAUACUAUUACAUUAGUGUCCGCAUUCUGUAGUUCAUUAUGAUCAUUUGUCCAAUAAAUAGGACUAUUCUUGUUGCAUGUAGUAGCUGUACAAUUAUUCAUUGAGACAUCCAUAUGUAUCAGCACAUAAACACACAAAAAAAGUCUCUACUUUCAGCUUCAUUUCAUGAGUUAAAAUUGUUCUGUUCUGUGCUGAUUUGAACUUUUAUUCCUCCUCUCUCAGAUAUGGGUUUACGGAAACAGUUUUGAGGCCUUCCUUGUUACUGUUGUUACCCCCAGCAAACCAGCACUUGAACAUUGGGCAGAAGAAAAUGGUAUAUCCAUGGACUUUAAUUCUCUCUGUGGAGAUUCUAGGGCAAAAAGUUACAUACUUGAAGAGCUCUCAAAGAUUGGAAAGGAAAAGAAGGUUCUAAAUUUCUUAUUUUUGCUCUAAUUUGAUAUUAUGGAGUGUGUAUGCUUAUAUCAUGCUGAUAAAUAUUCACAUUAAUUAUCACGACUAUUAAUAAUUCCCACACAACAUACUUUUUUAGAAAGUAGCCUUUUCAACGUAAUAUAAAAUGCCAACCAUCUAAUCAUGUACUUUUAGUUUCAAAUACUAGUAAAAACAAAACUAAUAUUUAACACGAAAUAUUAACACAGUUAACUAAGAUCCAAUGACUGGAUUGCCCAAAAUAAUUUUGGUCAGAGAAUUUUUUAAGUGGUGUGUGUAUGGUCUUAUGUUUGCACCAAUUGAUUCUAUUCUACAUGUACACGUGUUUGCAUGCAUAAGUACAUGUCCUGAAAUUUUAUGCGAUGAUGGAUAUGUUUUUGACAGUUGAAAGGAUUUGAGUUCAUAAAAGCAGUCCAUCUUGACCCAGUUCCAUUUGAUAUGGAACGUGACCUUAUCACUCCAACAUAUAAGAAGAAGAGGCCUCAGUUGCUGAAAUACUAUCAGGUAAAAGUUGUCAAAUUCUCAGGAUUUCAUUUCUGCUUCAGAAAUUAUUUCUGCUUUCUUAUUAUAGGAAUGGAUAAAAUGAGCUGUCUGUGUAUAACAACCUUUUUUUUUCUUCCCGGAUAUUUUCGUUCCACUGAGCAUAUAACUGAACACAGGUUUAGAAAUCUCAUCUGAUUGAGUUGACUAAGUGUCAGGUUUUAGAUGUCAUCUGCACCCAUGUUAUUAGAUUAGAUGUGAAUCAUAGUGCAACUGAUGCGCCCUGUUUCACUGCUUUAAUAUCAUAUUAGUUAUGAAUUAGUUACAUUACAGUUCAGUUAAAGUAGCCACUUCACUUACACUGUUGGCUUGCAUGUAUAUUAACAUGUACUGAAGUACCUGUUCAUAUGAUCCAUAAGAGAGUUUAUUUUCUUGUAUUUCAUUUAUAGGCGUAGUUAACUAGUUAUGUGCCAAACAGACUUGAAAAUGAACACUCGACAUCGUAGCUGAAUCCUAAGUAAUUUGGAAUACCUAACGUGAAUGUGUAAGUAAAAGUGUAAAAUGUUAUCAAGUGAUUAUCCUCUAAUUAAUAGUUGCGAGCAUACAAUUCUUUUUCCACUUCACUUUCAACUGCAAUUUUCCAUUGCACUUUUAACGUUUCAAAGCCUGUUUUAAGGACUUAAUAAUUUCUGUAUUCUGAAAGUACUGACUGCAAUUCUAUUUGUGUGCUCAGAAUGUGAUCGAUGACAUGUACAAAAGUGGAAAUAAACCGCUUGCCUGAGAAAUGCAUUUGGAGUUGGUGGCAUGUCAUGUAGAUAAUUUAUUUUCUGCAUGUGAUUGUACUGUCUGUACAUAUGAUUAUGAAGAGAUGGCAGAUGAUCUGCCUCCCUCAACCGUGAAAGAUACGAUAAUACAAAGUUUAAACAAAUUGUUUUCAUCACCUCCGCGUUGCAAACUUUUGUUAGGAAAAUAAAUAUUAACAUUAUCAAAAUUAACAAUGGUGUAGUUCUUGUUUUUUACUUAGUGAUGUUUUCAAAGAUUUAUACAAUAAGCUGUGAAUAUGAAUUAUAUCUGUUUGUUUUAAUGUUUAUAAUUGAUUAGUUGGACACUCCUUACUCUUUCUUGUUAGUUAAUUCUUUUGAAAGCAGUUCUAAAUCUCACCAUUCAUAUAUAAUGGCAGUGCAGUGAUGAUUUUUCUCACAUUACUCAUUUGUGUUAACACGGUGACGUAUCAAACAGGGUACUAGACAAAUCAUCUAUUAAGGAAUAAAUUGAGAACUACAGCACCUUCAUUUGCUAAUUCACUAAUGAAUCACUUGUUCAACAUCCACCGCCUUCCCUAUGUAUGCUAAGGGCACUUGUUAAGGAUCUCAAAGAGGAAAUUAUAUGUAGAAAAAGUUUCUUUUUAUAGUUUCAAUGUGUUGAAUACACAUUCUUUAAACUUCUAAACAAAUGCAUCAAGGACACUUGUUACACAUUAGUAUAAGAUUUAAUUUUGAGCAUGUCAACAUCAACUACUAUCCACUUUAUAGCUCGAAGAAGACUCCAAUUAAGCCUCUCCUUCCUUCCAUUCCAUGUGUUUCAUAUUCUAUAUUCGCUACUCAGUUGCAGCUACCAACACUUGUCAUUAAUAGGCAUGAAGAAAUCAAUUCAAACACAACCAACGUCAUCAAAAUCUGCUCCAUCAAGGUUUCAUUUCACAUAGUCACCAAUAGGAUUGAGCUGCCCUCCACUCGGCCAACAGACACUACCCGAUCUGAUGUAUCACAUAUGUCCUUACUUGAACUUAGAUUUCACUUCUUCCAAAUGCUCCACGCCAUGACAAAAAAAUAUUGCACUUGGUCUAAUUAAUUAAUUGAUAUUUCAUGACAAUAAUUUAAUUUAAAAGACCGCGCGUAUAAUUUAAUAUAACUCAAAGGCUAAUGGUGCAAACUGAAUAAAAAUUGUUGGGGUGGAAAUCUUACCUUCCAACAAAUGAACUCGAAAAAUCAAUCUAAGAUUCAAGUUAGAUUCUUAAGAGGUUCUUAAUUGAUAUGUUUAAUUGUUUAAGGCUACAAGUGUUCAAUGUGAUUAUUAAGUAAAGAAACAUGUGAUUAAGUAAAAAUAAUGGAAAAUGAAAAUACAAACGUAAAAAAUGCUAUAUGGCAAGAAAUAAUAAAGAUAAAAAAUGGUAUUAUUAUAAAUAAAAGUGUGUUACAUACAUUGCAUUAUCUAGUAGGCAAGUUAUAGGAACGCAAAUAAUUUUUUUAUUUUUGUUUUUAACUAAGAGGAAUGGAAAUAAACUUAUUUACAUGGAAUUUGAUUCUAUUGUUUAUAGAAGGGAAAAUAAACUAACUUCUAAAAUUUAUGAAUGUCACAUGUCUUCUAGAAUUUUUGGCACUGAAGUUCACUUAAUUGUUCUUUAAAAACUUCUUAUGCACACUCCUUGCAUUGACUAUUUGUUUAUAGAAAGUUUUUUUUAUAGAAAGUUAUGCAAUUUGAAUUUUCGAAUGAUAUAAUAAAUUGACAUAUAACAAAUACAAAGGACCAAUUUGGAAAGAAAAAUAAAAAACUUGAAGGACCAAACUAGAAAACUAGUCAAACAUAAAGAAACGCAAACGUAAUUUGACUCAACUAUUUCAUAAUUCCAUGGGACAUUUCAACACAAUGAGUUUUAUUGUGUUUCUCACUAGUGAGACAAAUACAAGAGACUGAAAUUCCUCACCCUUUCAACACAGCUCAAGCAGGGAAUAUAGAAGCAUUGCACAUUUGGCAGAAAAACAACAUUCGUAUAGAAUUUAAGUCGCCAAAUCCAACUCCAAUAAGUGUCAUAAAGAAAAUGUUUUCAGGUCCAAAUAUCAUGAACUCCUUCUAUUAAUUGAGAUUUACCUCUACUAAUUUGAUUAAUACUACUAGUAUUCAUUAAAAAAACAAGAAGCUAAAACAUUGAAUUCUAUUACGUACAUUUGGGUGAUUACUUUUUUCUUUUUUUUUUUCUUUCGAAAGGUGACUAAAAAUAAAUAAAUUUCUCGACUCAUAUAUAACUUGGAGAACCAAAACGCCGAUUUACUACUAAUAAAAAAUAAUUAGAAAAUGAAACACUGAUAAAAUAAAGAAAUAUCCCUACCCCUCCCAGCAUGUCAAAAGCAUGAUAUUCUGAAUAGGACGCCACGUAUUAACAACACAAAUCCAAACCAUCCACGUUUACCUCGAAUUACCCAACAUCCUUAGACAUAUGUACGCUUAAGAUUUCAC